GAUCCUGUCCCUGCAUCUGUACUUCCAGGUUCCCCGCCCCUCGUCACACUCCAUUUCUCUACACAUCGCGGUUUCGUCCAAGGAGCACCCCAUCCUCCUACCACUACCCAGCCCCAAGCUCCAAGUCCAGACCAAACCACAACCACAUCCCACACGCCUCUAGAGGGAUACCCUCGCGGCUGCCAUCUUCUACCAUCCGUUCAACGCUCAUCCCAGGAACAAUCCCCCUCCGCCAUUUCACGUGAACUCGGUCUUGGCUCCGCCCUCCACCGCUGCGGCCCGCCGCCUAAGCAACUGCCUCUGGCGCAGCAGCACCAACUUCCACCUUCUCAGCCUUCGUCACUUCUUCGACCCCCUCAGUGGAGCCCUCUGCCAUGCCCACCACCGCAUCUUUCACCUUCUCACCACCCUCGCCGUUCGACGACUUCUCCGCAUCGCCAUUGCGCGCUGCUUCUUCCGCCGCCUUGGACUCCUCGCCGUCUUUCAUUGACGCCUCUGCAGGAACUUCCGCCGACUUCCCGCCGUUCGACUCUCCCGACUCCACCUUCACGUCCUCCGCUUUCUCGCUCGACCCUUCCGUCGUCGCUUCUACGGUUUUCUCCACGGCAGCGACCUCCUCUCCGGGAACGUCCACGUCCAUCGCUUUGGUCUCCUCCUUGUCCUUUCCGUUCUCCUCCACUUUCUCGUCUGCUGCACCAUGGGCUCCGUUCUCCGUGCCAGCCUUGACAUCUGCCUCCUCGCCCGCGCCUGCUGGUGCACACCACAAACCACAUUGUUCAACCCCCGCGGAUCCAAAUCGGCGUCUACCUCCACCCACCAUCAUCACACACGCACACUUGGUCACAUUCCAAUGACACCAAUCCCAACCGCCACCCACCGUCCUUCUCGUCCUUUCCGUUCUCACGACUCUUCCUUGACCUCUUCACGGCGGGCCGUUUUAUCUCCGCCACCACCUCAAUGCCUUCUCCCGAAACACGGCCCUUGGAGCUCAGCCUCGCCGAUCUUCUCCGGUUCUCGGGUGGGGUCACAGCAUCGCCAGCUUCGCAACCAAACAACACAACCACCGUGUGAGACCCUCUCCUGCAUCCGGACCACGUUACCACCCUAGCCCGACUGUCCGACCACCCAGAAUCGUCACCGUCGAGGAGAACUCAUCAAUCACCACCAUCCAGACGUUGCCUCACAUCACACCCACGUGCUCAGUCUGCAAUCCACCAAUUGUGCAAAUACCACUGCAUCCACUCCGCUUGUCCAUGCUGCGUGACCACAGCGGGGUGAACUGGCGCCCAACCCCCUACGACGUCCACAAUGCUUCCCCAAUUUCCCCUCGCACCCACUACCACCUAGGAUCGCCACUACCACAACUAUCCCCGUGCCCUCGCCGUUCCCCUCGCUGCUGCAUUCAAUCUUUCUUCCCAAACCCAACCACGCCCACUCAUCACGCAACUCCCUGGGACGUCACAAACCUCUCCAAACCAGUUUCUGCACCCAUCAUCCCCAACACACAUACUCAACGUGCGCCCACAUUCCCAACGCAUACCUGCAACUCCCCAUUCGAAGUCCCCCGCAGACAGUGUCCCCGGAUGAGCUUUCAGAUACUUGUCCAGCUGCCUUUUGGUCUUGAUUUCCUCGCCGUCAGGGGCCACAAACGUCACGUCCUUCCUCUUUGGAGUGCCCCCUUUCUUUCCGGACCCCUGACGCCCACCCGCAUCAUCAACAACACCACGUCAGACCCUCCACAAUUGACCAACGCUAACCAAACACCCACCCCGCGGGCCCUUCAUCCACGUCCGAUUCCAACCCCUCGUCAACGCCUUCCGUCGACGCCUUCCGCCAGUGCAUUCGGCACCCAAGCACGCCCUUCAUCCUGCCCGGAACGCCUACAGCGUCCGCGUCUCUCGACAUCCGCGAUGUACACACACAAAACACCACACAAACUGCACGAUCGAUCCCACACCCGACGUUUUCGAAAGCGUAUGCCACCUCUAAAUCUAUCCCUCUACGACUUCCACCGCAGCGAAGCAGACCUCCCCCGUCACACUUGCGUCCAAGGCUUCGGGUGUGAGUGGUGGAAGGAUUUCAUCCCCAUCCCCCGCACGGUCACGGUCAUGCGUUUCCGCGGCCACGGGUGCCAUAACGCAUGCAUCUCGGCCCCACCAUCCUACCGUACGCCGGGACCCUCCGAGCCUGCACGUCACAAGGCUUCACGCAAAACAUGCGUGGGAUGUCGCCCCCACCCAUCACUGCUCGAACUCUGAGCGACCACGAAGUGGAUGCCUUCUCCGCACCAUCUCCCACCUCCGAACGCCGGCACGGCUCGGAGCGACGGCGUGGCCAGCACUGCACAGGAUGCCAUGCUUCGCGAUCUUCUCGAGCUCGGAGCAUUUCCCACACCACAUGCGACCAGGUCGCCCGUCUGGAGGACAUGCUCUCGAACCGUGCCUCCGUAAGAGCGGGUUGCUGGACAUCCAGCACCUCGCGUCGGAGUGCAUGUGCAGUGUGUCCAUGACGUCGGAUGGGAGCCCCGUUCGAGCGCCCCAGGCUUGCGACUGCUUAAGGCGCGUUACACCAACGAUAGCCGACACGCACCUUUCUAUCGUUGCGCACGGCCCUGCUAGCACAACGCCAGACCAGGAAAGCGACGGUCUUCGGAAGGCGACCGAGCCCGCGCAUGUCCGGUAAUCGACUUCGAAGCGUGUCAAGCGAGGGUUCAAGACGGACCUUGUGAGUCACAGUUACCGUCACGGAAGAGCAAGGCCGAGCACUCGGCUCCGCGACCCACGGAAACCUGACGACCAGGAAAACCCCGCCUGCUCACAAGAUAGACACGCACUGCCGUCGGCCAUAGUUCGGCAUCCAGGACAUGGGGGCGCGCCUUCUUGCAAGGAUCCGGUCAAACCGGCUCUCAGUCCCGUCGUUGUUGUGCGGAGGCGUUCCUCUCAAACUCAGGAGGACAAUAUCUCAGAUAAUGUUUGCACGACUGCACUUGCGAUCGCCGUCGCGGAUAAACUGCGCGGAUGUGCGAACGUAUUCACCAACACGAAGACCUGUGUGCUUGGCCGACGACCGUCCCAGGACCAGCACAGGAUAAGUUCCAGCGACACGCAUGGACACUUCUGCGCUCCCGAGCUGAAGCGCCUCCCCUCACCCAAACCCCCUCACCGGCACUGCACAGCUAUCGCAUGUCGUUUCACACAGCCUGCGCUGACGACAUGAAGGGACCGACAAAUUUCGUCAACUGAUGAGAGUGCGACAUACUACCGCCUCCCGGGGUACGGAACCAAAAAAAACAAGCUCGCGCAUCUCGCAAAGAACCAUCCAACCGGCUCUCAACCCCGAGCCUUAUGACGCACUCACACAUCCCGAGGGUCUCACACGAACUUCGGGCGACGUCGGUAGCAAAAACAAAGAGCACCAGCAUGGUGCACGGCCCGGUGGGAGCGCUACGAGGCAUUCGUCGCCCGAACUACGAUUCGCACCAUAUUCGUCGUCCUCGAUGUCAUGUCGUAACCGGUAACUAUUGGUUAAGACGGAAAUCUCGGGACAUCCGCAGCGGUGUCUGAUCGGCACACAUCCCAUCAAGAAACCUCAAGCUUCGAAAUUUGAGCGCCAAGGAAUGCAAGAAUCUGCCGAAUUGCAGCUUUUCUCGCUUUCACGGGCCAUGAAACACCGCCGCGAUAAUGCUGUCUCGUCACACGCUAGACCCGUCACAACCGACGCAGAAUAACGGCUCCGCUCUUUCAGCGGCAUCUUCUGGUAAACGUCAUACCAGAAGCUCUCGACACUGCACACCAUGCACCUCUCCCAACAGCCGCGCCACGAUUUAUGCGAGCUACGACCACACCGAGCGUCCAUGCAGUGAACUCGGGCUUCGAAACGGCAACGAACUUGCAGCUUCUUGAUGCCACUCUCGAGACCAGAAAAUUGACCGACCCCUCGCUCUCGUCACAAAUGAAUGCACCCUACCCUAGAGCAUCCGAUACACGUAACCAAGCGACAUCCCGGGCAUCCGCGUUUGGAACUAUCACCCGCGCUCCCUUCCACUCAGCGCGAACAGCCCGAUAGAACAUGACUCUCCCACAUGUGCAUCCCCAGCGACCGACGUGUUCCCCGACAUAAUCAACGGAUUUCACAACCAAGAUUCCCACACUCCCUCGCACCAACAACAGAGUUCAGGGUGGGUCUCGCUCCACAGACCUUGCGCUUCCAGCCUUGCAGAGGCCCGGUGAGCUCCUCGAAAGCACUCUCCGGCGUUCCAACGACCUCGGCCGCAGCGCAGUCGGCCUCCGGGCUGCCCAUUCCGCCUCACCUCGCCAACCACGCGAUCAACGACACACACACAGACACACACACACACACACACACACACACCCGGCGCACCAAACCUCCAGCCGCGUCCACCAGGACCUGCACAAAUUACCUCCGCGUCGAAAUUCCUCACGCUCUCCACAUUUGCCUGAGCGCCAAUCCCCGACGUGAAACAACGCACAGCUGGGGUCCAACCACAGCACACAAGCACCCGCCCCGGGUCUAACUACCACAACCACUGCCCUUCACGGGAAGAAAACAGGAAAAAUAGGUCCGGUGGAGCAAAGCCAAUGGCUGGGGCAGCAAACGAGAAUCAAAGACCAGCCACGAUAAUUGAUUGCGCGUGCGACUGCAACAAGCAGCGGAGAGGAGGAGAAAAUCUGCAUAAGUAGCGAUUGUGGAAGGAGAGAAGACGUAGUUGGUUGAAGAGGGGAUCCUAGAGGGUCUGGAUUCUGGUUUGUUUGGGUGUUCGGAGGUUGGGAAGGAGGGCGGGAGAGAGUCGCUUCGGGCUUGUUAGUGAUGUCUAGAUACGGAGACUAGAGAAGCUUCGCGGGCACAGGGGUGCCGGGCCCUAUCAUUGCCAGUAGCGUUCUCCCUUCUUCUGUUCGGUCUACCGCUCUCUAUUUUGCCGUGGCUGAGUUUCGGAUUUUGCACGGGAGCAAAGCGCCAGUCUGCAUAACGGGACACUUGACGUGUUAUCACCGUUGGGCCUGCUUGUGUGGGUUAUAGCGACGCUAUCGUCCAUGGUUUCUCUUUUUCCCGCCUUGUUCUUUAGUUCGUUUCACACAGCGCUUCGCAGAAUGCGGCUUCUGUUCUUUUUGCGCCCUGCCAACCUGGCGCGGCUUAUCUGACGUGGGGCUGACACGCUGGCAGUGAGGAUUUUUUGGCUGGAUUGUUUGCAUAAUGGCAUUGAGAAUCAUCUCGAAGACCCUUUGAUUGGAGGUCGACACAGAGUUAUAUGUGAAGCAAUAAGUAAUAUUUCUUCUACGUCAUUAAAAUUAAUUAUUUUUAGAACUCGAUCAUUCUUUUGAAGUAUAAAGUACUCUCAUUCCUUAAUAAAUAUUUUUUGGGUGUGAUUAUUUUAAUUAAAAAAAAUAACUCAAAUGUUUUUUUUUUUUUUUUUUUUUUUUAAGUUAUAAGUACAUUGUUUUUAAUAAUUUCUAACUCAACUGACUACAACUAGAAAAUCUUUUGAAAUGUUUUGGUGAUAGAUUUCAGAUUUAUUUUUUCUUUCAUACAAAUUGUAUUUACAUUUUCUAAAAAAUGUAUGUAAAUUGGAAGGUUAAAUAAUUAAGUUAAUCAUUAUAAGUACUAAAUAAUUCAAACAUCAAAAUUUGAUUAGACUUAAAGAAAUACAGUAAGAAUAUGGUAAUAACAACUUUUAAAACAAUAUACCAAAUGUUGUUUUCCUAGAAAUUCCAAAAUUCAUAAUUAAGAAUAUAUUAUUUGAAAAAAAAAUCAGAAUCAGCUACCCACCAAAUUUUAAUUAUUAUAUGUAUAUAUACAUAUAUACACAUUCACCCAAUUACACUAGAUUGAAUUGUCUUGAAGUAACAUAUGAUAUCUUUCAUUUUCUUUUCGGUUUUUUUUUUUUUUUUUUUUUUUUUAAGUGGUUCACUAUCAAUGACAUCUUAUUAAAUAGCAAUUUGUUUUUAAUUUUUUUAAUUGCAGUUAAGAUAGUGUUUCAAAAAGAAAAUAGACUCAAUAUAUUGUGCAUCAUAUUUGAUUGGUACUUUAAUUUAAGCAACUUUGAAUUUUUUUAAAAAACAGUUAAAAUUUUUCCUAUCUAAUAAUUCAUAAUUCUAAGUUUGCAAAAAAGGUUUAUAUAUUAACAAAUUAUGGAAAAAAAAUAGACUAUAACCAUGGAUUCUUUACUUUAAAUUUUUAAAUUUUUAUUGAAUAAUUACAAUGUAAGUUAAUGAAUAAAAAUGAUGUUUUUAAAAAAAUUAAAUUAAAUAUUUAGGAUAUAAAUGAAAAUUUAAUAAUUUUGAUUACACAUAAAAUAUAUGUUUUUAAAUUUUAAUUGUGUGUGAAUCCUUCUAAUAGAUCUUAAUUUAUAGAUUGAUUAAAAUACAUAAUUUAAAAUCAUCUAGUUAUGAAAAUGUUAAGAUUAGAGAAUCUUUUUGAAUAUUUAAGUAUUUAUUAAAAUUUAGAAGUUUUUAUUGGUUACAAAAGUCUUAUUAAAAGAAAAAUGAUAAGAAUGGAAUUUUAAAAAGUUUCAAAAGUAAUUAUCUUAGUUGGCUUAGUAAUUUUUCUUAUUAUUAAAUAUUAAUAUUUAAUUAUUAAAACCAAUAUUUACAUUGGCUUUUUAUCUUUGUAUAUUUUUUUUAAAUAUAUAUGAAUGUUAGUUAGUAGUUAGAAGCUUGAGACUAAAAACUUUCAUGUAGAAAAUAAAAUAAAUAGUUCAUAUAAAUUUCUUUGAUUAUUAUAAAACAUUACCAAGGUUAGAAAAUCUAUCCUUAAGUUGAAAUUAUCAUUAUAAAAAUAUUUUAGGGAUUUUUAGAAUUUAUUAAGAAUUCUUAAAGAAGAUUUAGAGAAGAUAUCAAGACUUUGGUAAAAUUAAAUUUUACCACCUUGAGAGCUAUUAUGAAGAAAUAGAGCAAGAUUUAAAAGACAUGCAAGGCUUUCAAUAUAAUUGAAUAUUUUUGAAUACUAUAGUAAAGUCAAAAAUACAAAAUAAAAGUAGUUCUAUUAGUAAAAAUCAGGAAAACCACCAACUAGUGUAGUCCUUGUAGGAAGAAAGGUGCACAAGUCACAUAUGGAUUAUAUGCCAAGGAUAUGAAUCUCAAAGAAAGAAAUCCUCAAUGCACUCUUUUGAUACUAAAAAGAACUAAAAAGUCACUCAAAAAUGAUAUAUUACUGAAUUAGAAUGGCUAUUGCCAAAAACAAGAAGACUAGAGAGUCUUGAAACAAGACUAAGGACUAAAAAGGCGUUGACAAGAAUGAAGAAGGCUUCACUCUUCCCUCCAUAUAUAUUCUUAACUAGGAGUUAUGUGGCAAUAUCCUAUAGGACCUCCAAAAUAUGUUGACUUUAUAAGACAUGUAUCUUAACUUAUUAUGCAAGUUUUUUAUAUAUGCACUACAUAGUUAGGUUGUUCUACAAGCUGCCAAUAUAUAAUUGACUUAUUGAAUAAGUUUCUAACCUAUCAAUCAACUACAUACAUAUAUAAAAUCAAAGUAGCAUCUAUAAAGCUUCUAAAAAGCUUUUUAAAAAGGUAUUAUGAAAUUAACCUACGUUUAUCUAAUUUUAUUUAUUUCUAUCUAAUCAUAUAAGUAUUUUAUUAGUGUAUCAAUGUAUAUCCGAGACAUUAUCCCUUCUUUUAAAGACAAGUUCCAUGAUGAGUGGUCUUCAUAUAUUGAGGAAAUCCAAGAUGCGAUGAAUUAUAUUUGUUACAAACUUUGAUCUUUGUUUCGUUCAAAAAUAGUUGAUAGAUUGUCUCAACCAUCAAUAGUGUCUCAUACAAGACCACCAUGUUAUUUGGUCGUUGUUGAGGCCUUCAUAACUUCCUUCAAAUAAAACAUUUGGAACACCAUCAAGAGUUGUUCUUACUUCUAAUAAAAUUACCAAACAUGAGGAGUCUCUUCUAAGGUCAUGAUACCAAAUACGUUAUAUUUCACCAUCUUUUUGAGGAAAGACAUAUUGUUCUUGAGAAUCUUUAUUUUAAUUUCAUUGUCUUGAAGGUUGUGACAAUCACAAUGUCUUGUCUAGUAAGUCCACAAAUAAAAGUUCUUGAGUUGAAUUUGCUAGUUAUUGGUUUUCCAUCUUUUUAGCAUCACAAAUAUACAAAAGCUACAAAGAAAGAUAGAAGGUAGAGUGUUAUCUUCCCUUGAUCUUAUUUCUUUUAUAGCAAAGAUUUGCUAUUUUUUUAUCUUGAUUUUAAUAGAUGUCGUCGAUGAAAAGCUUCAAUUCUAUUUGCUACAUUUGCAUAUUUUUUUGCUAGCUCCCAUGUGUGUUCAUUAAUAUCAUAUCCAUGCUAAUGAACAAGAUAUUCUAAUCUAUUUUAGCGCCGCCUCAAAUCCAAGACUUCUUCUGCUUCAAAUUCUUGAUUAUUAUUUACUUCUAUAAGAGGAGGUGACAUUUAUCUUCUUUCUGAGAUAUUUACUAUCUUAUAUGGCUCAAGAAGAGAUACGUAAAAUAUAGGAUAGAUCUUCAUAGAUUCUUGUAGAUAUAAUCAAUAAGCAAUAAAAUUGACUUAUUUACUAAUAGAAAAAGGCCCAAGCCUACAAUAGUCCAAUAUAUUGCAAGGAUGAAUAGUCUUAAUAUUACAACAAAGUAAUCAUACCUUGUCACCCACGUUGAAUUAUAGUUGUUCCUUGCAAUAGGCAUCUGCAUUAAUUUUUCAUCAUUCUUGAGCUUCUUUUAAUUAUGCCUUCAUUGUUGUAUGAAGCUGUGAUAAACAAUUUGCUAAAUCUUUUGCUGCAAGCUUAUCAACUUUUGAAAAGUCAAGAGUAUGAAAUUGUGAAUAAUAACCAUAAUUGGCAAAGAAAGAUGUUUGUUGAGUGGAAAAAUGUACCAAAUUAUUGUAUGCAAACUUUACUAAUGAUAAAAGAGAUGUCCAAUCAUCUUGAUGAUAAUUGAUGGUAUAUCUUACGUACUGCUUCAAAACUUGAUUUACUUAUUCUAUUUGCUCAUCAGUUUGAGGAUGAAAAGCCAAAGAGAGCUUAACAUCUACCUAUAAAAUUUUGGAAAGGAUUCUCCAAAAUCUUGAUAUAAAUUGAGUCCCCCUAUUUGAUAUAAUAUCUUUGGACAAUCUGUAAUAGCAAUAGAUGUUAUUAAGAAAAAUCUUAGCUAUUUAUUUAUUAGUGAUACAUUUUGUACAUAGUAUAAAAUGUGCCAUCUUGGUAAAAAAAUCUACUACUACAAAUAUAGAAUCAUAUAAAUCUGAGAUUGAAAGAUCUAUGAUAAAAUCUAAAAAAAUAAAAGACCAUGGUUGUUCUCAAAUAGGUAAUGGCUGAAGAAGUUCAUAAGAUCAAUGGCAAGGAGUUUUGGAACUUGAAUAAAUAUCUCAUGAUUAUACAAAGUUUUUAAUUGCCUUCCACAUUUGAGGCCACCAAACAUCUCUCAAUAUUAGUUCCAAAGUCUUAUUGUAUUGAAAAUAUCCGGUUGCUAGAAAGUCAUGACGAAUUUGAAGAAUACAUAAUCGUAUUUCAUCUUCCAAAAUGUAUAAUUGUCCUUCAAAAUAGAGUAGGUUGUUCUUCAACUCAAACUUGGAAGUAUCAUGAGACUUAAAAAAAUUAUUCUUGAUAUCAUGAAUAAGAAGAUCAAAGGACAUACUUGAUUGAAUUUGAUCAAGAAUUAUGUGACCUUGAAAUCAAAUCUUGAUAAGAACAUGCUUCAAUAAGUUUGGCAACAAUUUAAAACACAUUGUCGUAAUAUGUGAAGUCUUGUUUGAGAAUGUUCUAAGCACUUGGUUGUGGAAGGUAGGAUAGAAAUUGCAACAAUAAAAUCUUAACUCUAAUAGAACACUAAUUAAACUCUAAUUAGACCAUAAAAAUACUAAGUAAGUUUUAAUCAAAUUCAAAGAAAUCUCAGAGGAAUUACAAAGAAAUAAUAAAAAAACUUAAAAAAAUAUUUGAAUGAUUACAAAUAUAUUUCAAAUAUAUCUUAAUUCAAUCUUAAUUUAAUUCUAGUUAAAAUCCUAUUGGACUUCAUUCAAACUUUAAGCCAAAAAUUAGCUAAAUCUUAAAUCUUAAACUAAUCCUAAUAAAAUCCUAAAUCCUAAAUCAAAUCCUAAUCAAAUCCUAAAUCUUAAAAUAAAUCCUAACCAAAUCCUAAUCCUAAAUCAAAUCCUAAUCAAAUUUUAAAUCCUAAUCAAAUCCUAAAUUCUAAACCAAAUUCUAAUCGUAAAUCAAAUCCUAAUCAAUUCCUAAUUAAAUCAUAAAUUCUAAAUUAAAUCCUAACUAAAUUCUAAAUCCUAAACAAAAUCCUAAUUAAAUCCUAAAUCCUAAAUCAAACCCUUAUUCUAAAUCAAAUCCUAGUAAUUCCUACAACAAAUUUAAACUUCAAUUACUAAUAAAUGAACUAUUGAUCUUAACUCAUAAUUUUCACAUUUCUUAAUAAUUAAGUUUAAAAAAAGUACAAAAAAUUUGAAAAGGAUCGAAAUUACUGAAUAGACAAUAGCUUCAAAAAUAUGCUUGAAUAUUGGCUGGCUUCCUUCUCCAACCUUGAUGCUAAUCUUCUAGAGCCAAUAUCUCUCUUUUUUACUAUUCGAUUAAUUUCAAAAUUCUCAUAUACAUAAAAAAAUAAGUCUAAUAUCCUUACACAUAAAUUUCACUUCAAUCCAACUUGUAGAUUGCAAGAAAACUUAAAAGCCCUCACUGAAUCUAAAAUUCUAUUUUUUGAGACCUGGAUCCACUUAAACCUCAAUAAUCCUCAAUUCAACUAUUAGAUCAAACUAAAAUUCACAAUACAUAUUAAGCACAACUAUAACCAUCAACCCACAAAAUUUCACUUGUAGAUCUGUUACAAAACUUUCAAAAUUGUCCAAAAUAUUAAUCCUAUUUUAUUUCACAAAAUCCAAGUCAUCCAAAAAAAAAAUUAAUUUAGUAAAGUCCUUACAAAGCCAUUAAAAAUCCAAAUCACACAAAAAAAUGCUCAUAGAAACUUUAUCUAGUCUACUAUCAAAUUCUACUCUUCAAUCUACAAAAGACCCCCCAAGUUGCCAUAGAUGCUUGGUUUGUGCCUCGGGGUCUGAUUUCAACCUAGGUUUGUAACGGGCCCUCUUUGGGUAUCAAUAUCUAAUUUUUCUAUGUAAUUUUUGCUAAAAUUUACUCUUAAAUUCUUCUUAAAGUUGUUUAUAUCAUUUAUUUUUCCAAUCUACCUUAUUUUGCUUUAUUUUUGGCCCUACAAAGUAAAUAUAAGCUAUUUUUCUAAAAGGGCAGCAUUACUACUAAAAUUUUUACUACCUUCUUAUCUUUUAUCCAUAUUUUUUUAUUUUAUCUUUUAACUUGGCUCUUCUAUAAUAAGAUCUAUAUUAUUAUCUUUCUCCAUAUAGUCAUAUUACAACACGACAAUGUACUGAUAUGAAAUACUCAAGGUUCUUAUGAUUUGUAUAUACAAUAACUAGACUUGAGAUGCAUUUUAAAUGAGACACCAUUCUUGAAAUGAAUCAAUGAUUGCAAGGAGUUCUUUCUUGUGGAUCUCAUAAUUAAUCUUGGCUGUUGAAAAUUUUCUAAAAUAGAAAGCUAUUAGAUGGAGUUGAUCAUCUGCUCCUGUUUAUAAUAACACUAUACCUAAGGCAAAGUUUGAUGCAUUUGUUUCCAUGAAAAAUACCUUAAAAAAUUUGACACAAUAUAAAAUUGAUAUAAAAAUAAAUUCUUUUUUAAAAUCAUCAAACGAUGCUUUGGCUUCUUUACUCUACUCAAAUUUAUCUUUACAAGUCAAAAGUGUAAGUGGAGUUUCAACUUAAGAAAAAUUCUUAAUGAAGAUUUGAUAAUAAUUGAUAAAGUCCAAAAAGCAUUGCACAUCUCUUACUAUUCCUAGAAUCUUCCAACCCAUGAUAGUUUGAACAUUCUUUGGAUCCAUCAUUAACACUUUAUUGGAAAUGAUGUAUCCUAAGAAGUCAACUUGAGUAGUGUGGAAUACACACGUUUUUAACUUUGCAUAUAAUCUUGCAUCUCUAAGUUUUUAUAACACACCAUGAAUAUAAAGUUCAUGCUCAUCUAUAUUCUUAAAAUAGAUUAAGAUAUUGUCUAAAUAAGAAAUGACAAAAUCAUCAAAAAACUCACAAAAAUAUCAUUCAUUAAAUGUUGAAAGUCAAUUAGUAUAUUUUUGAGUCCAAAAGAUAUGAUAUUAUAUUCAAAAUAUCCAUACUUGAUUUGAAAUGUAGUUUUUCAUUCAUCUCCUUUAAUAUAUACCAGAUUAUAUGCUCCUCUAGAUCUAUUUUUGUUUAGAUCAUUGUUUGAUUCAAUUGAUUAAGAAGUCCUCAAAUUAAAGGUAGAAGAUACCUAUUCUUAAUGGUGAUCUUAUUGAGUCCUUGAUUGUGCACACAUAUCUAUAAAGAUCUAUCUUUUUUCUUCACAAAUAAGAUAAGAGCCCCAAUUGGAGAUUUAAAAUGACGUAUGAAAUUUUUAGCUAAGUUUUCAUUAAUAUACUCCUUGAGUGCAAUCAUUUUUUUUUUUUGAUAUGCUAUAGAUUGGUCCAAAUGGUGGUUGAACUCUUUCAUGAAGAUCAAUGGAACAAUCAUAAGAACAAUUCUCUAGAAGAAUAUUCACAUUUUUUUUUUCAAAAAUAUCUUGAAAAUCUUGAUACUAGUUAAAAAUACUACUUGAUGUCUUCUUGUCAUCAAAAAUAGAUGUGGCAUAUAAAACAAAAGAUAAUCCUUCUUUUGCAACAUGUAUAAAAGCUCUUGCACCUACCAAUAAGAAUUUAGAUGUAUUAAAGUUAUAUAUUUUUACUUGACUAACAAGAUUUUGGAUUAAAAUAUCAUAAAAAUUAAGGUUUUGAAAAAUCCAAUUUAUUUGAGGAUUAUAUUUUUUUAACCAAGAUAUUUCUAAAAUAGUUGGAUUGAAUAGAAAUCUUAUUAUAUUAAGUAUUACUAUGCUAUUAUGAUUUUUAAUUGCUACAUCUAAAGAAACAGUCUUAUAUAUAAUAUCUUCAAAAAAUAGCAAACAACUAUCUAUGACUUCUAUAUGUAUAGAUUUAGUUUUUUUGAUUAAUAUUAUCUCUUAUUUUUUGACAAAAUCUUUGUUUAUAAAACACGCUAAGAUUCUUAAAUCUAACAAAGCUAAGAUUUUGUGAUUUUUUGGUCCUAAAUCAAUUUUUAUUAUAAAACAAGGUGAGGGUUUUGAAGAGAGAAUAGGACCUUUACUAGGAGUUAUGCAAGAUUUCAAUUGAAGCUGUCUAUUAUAAUUGAAAAAACUUAUUUUUUAAUACCUUAUCUUUUUAGGCAACCAUGCUUCUAAUUCAGUAAUUAUGUUGUUUUUUAAGAAAAUAUUGAACAAAGUAUUUAACUACCUUAUAAUAUAAGCAUAAGCCUUCUUGAUGUCAAUGAGUCUUUUUCUACUUUGUAAGGACUUUAAAAACAAACUAUAUCAAUUUGUAUUGAUUUUUGCCUCGAUAAAAUAAGUUUAUAAAAACUUGGAAGUUGUCAUUAUUAUUUGAUUUGUUCUUCUGUAACCAAAUCUUUAUCUUGACAUCUUUCAAAUAAUCAAUUAUCACAUGCAAUGGCUUGAAUGAUAAAUUUUUUCAAAGAUUUUGCCUUUGGCAUUGCUAGUAACAAAUCUUUGACAUUAUUCUUCAAUCUAUAUCAAAAUUGAUUGAUAAGAGCUUUGUCAUUCCAGUCCAUGUUACAAGCUAGAUUUUGAAAUUUAGUAGCAUAUAUGGUAGAUGACCGUGAUUUUUUCCAUAAAGAUAAGAUCUUAAUCUUUACUUCUAUUUCUUGAUCACUUUCUCCAAAUGUGAAUGUAAAUACUUCUGAGAAUGAAUUCAAAUUAUAAAAGAGUUGUAAAUUCUUUUCUAUUAAAGAUACAAACCAAAAAAAACACUUCUUGAUAGAAGUAUGUUUAUGAAUCUGACUUGAGUAAAUCCAUCAAGAUAUUGGAAAGAAUGCAAGCUUAAAUAAAACUUGACUUAUUGGACAAAUCCUUGAAAUUUUGAUCUUGUUCCAUCAAACUUCUCUGGUAUACAAAUCCUUGUCUCCAUCAUAUGUAAAGAAACAAAACUCACUUGAUUUGGUUGUGAGGUUGAUCUAUUUGCUUCUUUUAACUGGACAAAUUUCUUAUUGCAAAAUUUGAACCUCUUCUAUAUGUAUAAGCAUAAUACCUCCAUGAUUUACGUUGGAAAUAUAUGAGAUUUUUACUCUUAGAGUAUUAGAAAGCUCUUGAAGAUAUGCAAUAGUUGCAAAUUUAUUCUUACUUUUAUUGAGAGUAGUAUCUAUAAUCUUUCCUUCUAUAGAUAAUUUUAAAAAAUUCAAAAAGUUAAAUUAGAAGAAGGUAAUCCGCAACUUCUAAUAUCAAAUAAAAAUUUCUAAAAUAAAAGAUAAUCCACUAUCUUUAAGAAAAAUAUCAAUAUUAGAAAAGAAAAUAAAAUAAAAUCAUUCAAAGGUGGGUAGUCUGUAACUUUCAAAAUAUAACAAUAAAAGUAAGAUAAUCCACUCACUUCUAAAACAAGACAAAAAUAAUAAAUUAGCACUCUUGUCAAAUUUUCAAGGAUAUGAAUCUAAAAAAUAGAAAUCUUCAAUAUACUCUUGUGACUCUAAAAAGUACUAGAAAGUCACUCAAAGAUGAUAUAUUAUUGAACUGGAAUGGGUAUUGCCAAAAACAAAGAGAUUAGAAAGUCUUGAAAUAAGACUAAGGACUAAAAAAGCAUUGGGAAGAGUGAAGAAGACUUCACUCUUGCCUUCAUAUAUACUCUUAACUCGGAGCUACAUGGUGAUGUUCUAUAGGACCUCCAAAAUAUGUUAACUUUGUAAGACACGUAUCUUAACUUGUAAGGCAAGUUUUCUAUAUGCGUGCCACAUAGUUAGGUUGUUUUGUAAGCUACUAACACAUGGUUAACUUAUUGACCAAGUUUCUAACCUAUAAAUCAACUACAAACAUAUGUAAAGUCAAAGCAGCAUCUAUAGAGUUUCUAAAAAGCUUCUUAAAAAGUUAUUAUGAAAUAAACUUACUUUUAUUUAUUUUUACCUACUUCUAUUUAGUCAUACAGAUAUUUAUUAGUAUAUCAAUACAUAUCUAUGACAUUAUAGCAUCUUGGAUGUAAAUAGGAAGAAAAGACUAAAGCUUCAAGGCCUUUCUAAGACAUCCAUAUAUACUACAUGUAUUAAGAUUAUUUUAAAUUAAAACAUAUCUUUGUCAAGGAUGUAACUUCCUGCAAAAAAUUACUUAAGAUGAUUAAUUUAUGAUAAAAUUUUGCAAUAGACUUUAUAUUUUUUUAAUAAAUUAUAUAUAUAUAUAUAUAUAUAUAUAUAUAUAUAUAUAUGAGUUAUAUUUUUUAAAAAAAUAAAUAAUAUAUAUAUAUAGAUCUAUAUAUUAGAUAAUUAAUAUAAUACAUAUAUAUAUAUAUAUAUAUAUUUAUAUAUAUAUAGUAUUCCUUCAUAUAAUUGAUUUUCUAAAAAUUAAUAACUUUCAAUAACUAUUUAAUAUUCUAAGAACCAAUUUUUUUCUAAGUUGUAUAAUUAAUAGUAAUGUUUAUAAUAGUUACUUAAUUUUUGUUGAUUUUAAAGAAGUCACAUGGUCAACAUAGCCACUUGGCUAUUUGUGAUAAGGUGAAGGAAGGAUAUGCAUCCACCAAUACAAAAGUAAGUAGCUAAGAUUAUAGGGUGCUAGCAAGAAUAAUUUCUAUCAUGCAAUCUUUGAUAAUUAAUAUUUUGUUUAAAAAAAAUGAUAUUCAUCAACAAAAAGAAUUACAUAUAUAUCAUAAAAAUAACAUUUUUUAUUAUCAUAAUUUUAUUUUAGUAUGAUUACAUUAUAUUAUGUAUAUCAAAAUUAUACGAUAUAUAUAUAUAUAUAUAUAUAUAUAUAUAUAUAUAUAAGAUCAAAAAUUUCAAAACAUAUUAUUAAAUUUAAAGUAAUUUUAUUAUUUUUUUCAAUGUAUAUAUAGAGAGAAAGAAAAAAGUAGAAAGAGAGAGAGGGGGGAAGAGAAAGAUAUGCUUUAUUUCUUUUAAAACAUGUAUCAAACUUGCAAUCUAAAACUCAAAAAGAUUAUGUAUAUAUAUAUAUAUAUAUAUAUAUAUGUGAUUUUAAGACUAAUAUAAAAAUAAAUAUAAUUAUUAAUUUUAUUCCAAUUAAAUUAUGCUUAUUUUAGUAUAUAUUAUACUCAAAGCUUUGCCAAAAAGUAUCAAUAAUAAAUCCAAUUUUUGAAGUAUUACAUGAAUAAAGAAAUUUAGAUUGUAGACUCUAUAAAAUAAUAAUAAUAAUAAUAAUAAUAAUAAUAAUAAUAAUAAUAUUUUGAAUGUUUGUUAUAAGAUAUUUUUAAUUUUUUUGGUGCAAAUACAUCUUUUUUACAUAUUAUUAUUUCUAAUAUAAAUUCUAUUAUUAUAUUUUUAUAUAAAAUUAUACAAAAGUAUAUAUAUAAAUAUCUAUAUAUAUAUAUAUAUAUAUAUAUAUAUAUAUAUACAUAUCAUUAAUCAAUCUAUAGAUCUUUUUUAAUUUAAAUUUCUAAAUGUAUUUAAGUUUAUUUUUAUUUAUUUAUAUUAUAAUAAUAUUUUGAUUAAUUUACACUUUUAUGGAAUAUAAUGAUAAAAAAUCAAGAAUAAUUUAAAAUAAUCAAGUUAAAUAAAAUAAAAUAAAAUAAGUAUUAUUAUUAGUUAUUCUUAUUAUUCUAAAUUUAGUAUAAUUAGAAUGAAACGUAAUAAAAAUAAAAAAUAAAAAAUAAUUCUUAAAAAUAAACUUAUAGAUUAUUUUUUAAAUUAUUUAUGUGAUUUUGAUCUUAUAUCACAAUGGUUUUUUUUUUGGUUUGCAAUCAAUGUUUUCUAAUUUUUUAACUUCAUUCAUAAAACUGAAUUUCAAAAAUCAUAAAAUAGAAGAUAAUAAAAAAAAUAUCAAAUCAUGCUAAAAAUUUAUUACUUUUAUAAUUUUAAAAUACAUUGUACAUAUAUAUAUUCAUAUAUGUGUAUUUAUAUGUGUGUGUGAUAUAUAUAUAUAUAUAUAUAUAUAUAUAUAUAUAUAUAUAUAUAUAUACAUAUAAAGAAACGAGUUUUUAUUUUGUAAUCUUUAAUCUAUUAUUUGUAAUUUUAAAUUUAUUAAAUAGGUUUUUAUUUAUAUAAUAAUAUAAAAUUCACUACUACAAAUCAAUUUUAUGGUUUCCUAUCAAUUACUAGGUUAAGUAGAGAUUUCAUUUAUUUAUUUAUUUUUUAAUUAAAAAUAUUUCAUUUUAGUUUUAAAAAUAUUAGAGUAGUCAUAAAAGAUCUUCAAUAACUCUUAAGUGUCUCUUAAAUAUAUGUAAUAAAAAAAUCAAACAAAUCUCUUAAUUAGAUUAUGUCUUACUUUGGUUUACGAAGAAAUAUUCAAAUAUUGAUAUAUGAUGUAGAAGCGGUAAAGUAAUAAAUGAUAUGUAUCUUUUUUUUGGAAGGUAUGACCAGAAUUUGGAAAUGAAAGAAGAAGGGAGAAGAAAAAAAGAAGGAGAAAUGGAAGAAAACAAUAACAUUGUAAAAAGCUACACUAAAUUAUAUUGAAUAGUACGUAUGUAGAACGAGAUAGUAUUGCCAAUUUGAAUUUAAAAGAGGAAUAACUAACCAUAGAAAAAGUAGGGUGAGAGGCUUUUAAUUGAAUUAAAGAACAAAAUUGUGAUUAGAUGUCAUGCACAUAAUCAACAUUAGAUAAUAAAAAAUUACCUAGAAAUAAGUAAAAGUAGAUAAAUUAGAUAAUAUCCUUUCGGUAAACUUCUUAGAAGCUUUAUAGAUGGAGAUAUGAUUUUAUACAUGUUUGUAAAUGAUUCAAAACAUGGCCAACAAGUUGGCCAUAUAGUACAUAUAUAAAAAAAUUGCCUUACAAGUCAAAAACAUAUCUUGCACAUUAGACACAUAUUAGGGGUUUUAUAAAAUGUCUCCAUAUAGCUUUUAAUAAGGUAAUAUAUACAUAUAUAUAUAUAUAUAUAUAUAUAUAUAUAUAUAUAGAGCAAAGAUUUAGGCCUUUUUUACUCUUUUUAGCUCAUUUACUUUUUUUAGUCUAAUUUCAAGAGUUUUUUUUUUUUUUUUUUUUUUUUUUUUUUUUUUUUUUUUUUUUUUUAAUCUUUUGGUGAUAGCUACUUAAUUUCUUCUUAAACAUACAUGCUUUUUUUUUGUCAUCUCUCUUUGAUAUUUGUUUCACUUUUUUAUUUAAAUUCUUUGAUUUUCUCAUCUUUAAUAGAUUAAUAAGAAUAUAUUUAUAAUAUCAAAGAUUUAUCUUUUUUAAAAUAAAAGUAGAUUUUACUUUUUUAAAUUAAAUAGAAUUAUAUUUAAAUUUUUAGAUUAUCUAUUUCUAAACUAAUAUUAUUUUAAAGAAAUCUAUGUUCUUAAGUCUUCUCUUUUACUUAUCUUAAGUGAUAUUAGACAUCUUUUUUCUAUUGUAUUAUCAUAGCAAAGCUUGUUAACAUAAAAAAUAUAAUAGCACAAAUGCAUGAAUAAAUAAGAAAUCUAAUGCUUAUAAUACACCAAUUCAAUUCACCACAACAAGAAGCAACAAAGUUUCUAAAAAGUAAAGAUAUAGAAAUGAUUAUCUUAAGAAGUUUAAUAAUACAACAUGUAAGUUUCAAGGAUUUAUUAAAUAAGUACAACUAGUGAUUGACCUUUAAUCUCAAACUUAUCCAACUCUAGGAUUAUAAGCCAUGUUUACUAGAAUACUACUUUCACAUUCAACUUUAUUAUGAUUUUUAUCAUUUUUUAAAUGAUGUAAUGUAAUAUUAGAUAUUAUUUAAGGCUUUUUAAAUAAGAUUUUGCUCUAUACAAAGAAAAUAUGAUACAAUUUUUGUUGCAUAUAGAUAUAUAUAUAUAUAUAUAUAUACAAUAUAUUGCAAAUAUGUAUAAUAUCUUGUGAAGGUCAUAUUUUUUCUUCAAAAUAUUUUUUUAAUUUUAUGAUGGAUGUUUUUUUAGGAUCUAAAAAUCACAAAGCCUCUUCUUUGUUAGAUUCAAGAAUCUCAACUUGUUUUUUAGAUGAAGAUAUUGUUAAAUCUCCUUUUAGUUUAAUAUUUUAAAGAUUUUUUAAUUAAAAAGUAUAAUCCUUAGAUAGAUUAGAUUUCUUUUAGUCUCAAUAUUUUGUAGAAUAUAAAUAAGACUUUUCUUACAAAAUAAAAAUUUAUAAGCCUAAUAAAAUAAAAUACUAAUUUCUUGAUACAAGAGCUUUAUGCAUAUUACAAAAAAAGAAUUAAUUUUAGUUAAUUAUGUUACAUUAAUUUUUAUUAGUAAAUUGACUUGAAGCACUAUUUAAAUUAAGUAUAAAGAUUAUAAAGUCGUUUCUAAUAUAUAUAUAUAUAUAUAUAUAUAUAUAUAUAUAUAUAUGAUUUAUUUUAUAACAUUGUCUUUUUGAUUGCUCAAUUAAUUUUUAAAAAAGAACUCAACUAUCAUUUAGAUGAAGCUCUAGCUUAUCAUUAAAUGAGUUAGUUGAAUUUAAAAAAAUAUAUUGAUAAAAACUUAGGUAAAAACUUCAUAUGCCAUUCUUAUUUUCUAAUAAGAUCUUACUAGUAAGAAAAAUGAUGGAUCACUACAAUAUAUGUGGAUUAUUGAAGAUUCAACAAGAUUAUCAUUAAGAAUAGGUACCUUUUACUUCCAAUAUAUAUAUAUUAUAUAUCAAAACAAGCCAAGAUCUAUUCAAAAAUAGAUCUAUAAAGAUCAUAUAAUUUGGUUUGCAUUAAAGAAGAAUAUUAAUAAAAGACUAUAUUUUAAAUAAAAUAUAAGCAUUUUGAAUAUAAUAAUAUGUUAUUUGGACUUAAAAAUGCACCAAUUUAUUUUUAACAUCUUUUGAAUAAUAUGAUUUGAGAUUUUUUAUAUGAUUUUAUAUAUUUUUUUAUCCAUAUAAUAUUUUAAUUAAUUUUAAAUAUAUAAAAGAAUAUAAACUAUAUGUUUAUUGUUUGUUAUAAAAACUUAAAAAUAUAAGGUUAAAUGUUAAGAUAAAUUAUUAUAUAUUUCACAUAAUUUAAACUGACUUUUAAAAAUACAUCAAUUCAAACAAUAGCCUCAUUAUGGUUUUUAAGAGUGUUCAAACUUUCAUGGAUAAAAAGAUUCUAUAAAUAAUAAAAAAACAUCUAAUACUUUUUGACAUUUUUUAAUUAUUAGAUUUCUAUAAAUUAUAAAUAAAAUUGAUGCUCUUCUUUUACAAUUAACUUAUAAAGAUAAACUUGAUUAGAGUAAAGAAGUUAAAGUAAUAUUUGGAGCUUUAAAGAUAGAUUUUACUUUUAUAUCAAUCUUAUAUCUUAUUGGCUUUUUUUAAAGUAUUUUUUACAAAAAUAAAUAAAUUGGAGUUUGCCUUAGGUUUAAUAUUGCAAUAAAUAAGAAUAAAUAAAAAACUUCAUUCUAUAGCUUUUUAUACAAAUUUUUUUUAGCAAUUAAAAUUAAUUAUAAGAUCCUUGACAAAGAACUCCUUGUAAUUGUGGAUUUAUUUUAAGAACGGCAUCAUUAUUUAAAAGAUUCUUUUAAUUUAGAUAUUAAUUAUACAAAUGACAAGAAUUUCAAGUACUUUAUGUCAACACAUGUUUUAUAUUGUUGCUAAGAUUGUUGAAGCAUGUCUUUAUUCAAAUUUGUACUUAAUAUUACAUAACAACUAAAAAAAUAAUAAAAUUUAUCAAAUAGUAUCUUUAGAUAUUUUUAUCUUAAGUCAAAAGAAAAAAAAUGUAACUUUUCAUCAAUAUCAAACUAUUUUCUUAAAAUGAGAGUAAUUUGAUCUUUAAGCAAUAAAAUAAAUAUUAAUUAUUGAUUAAUUUUUAAAAAUUAAUUCAAAUUGAUUAUAUCUCUAAAUGUUCUUUUGCUUGAUGUAAAGAAUAUUUUUUAAAAAAAAUUAUGAUAUUUUAAAUUUUAAAUUUUAAAAAAUAUCUUUUUAAUAUUAAGAGACAUUUAUAUGUUCUAAAAGAUAAAACAUAAUUACAAGUUUUUGAAGCUUUUAAUGACUUUUUAGUUGCAAAAUAUUUUUGAUACAACAAGAUUCUAAAGUUAAUUUAAAAAAUAUAAUGGCUUUAAAUACACAAGGUAGUUAAAAUCUUUGUAAAAUUGUAUGGUAUUUAUUUAAAGUAAAUAAACUCCUUGUCAUUGAUCUUAUAGAAUUUUUUAACUAUUUUAUAUAUAAAAAAACCAUUAUCAUUUAUUUUUAUUAAUUUUAUCAAAGAUCUUUUAAUAUCAAGUUUUUAUGAUUCUAUACAUAUGCUAAUAGAUUAAUUUAUUAAAAAUUAUAUCAAGAUUUUAGAUAAUUCUUUUCAAGGUAUUAAAAAUUGAUAUAAAACUAAUUUUGGUUUUUUAUUCUUAAACUAAUGGAAUAAAUCAUGCAUUGAAUAAUAUUUGACAUGUAUUAUCAACUACCAUCAAGAUGAUUGAAUAAUUCUUUUGCCAUUAAUAAAAUUUGCCUAAAAUAAUACAAUACAUUCUUCUACUCAAUAAUCACCAUUUUAUGUUAAUUGUAGUUAUUAUCCAUAAUUAAAUACUUAUGACUUCUCAAAAGUUGAUAAUCCAAUAAUAGAAGAUUUAACAAAUUAUUUAUUAUAGCUACAUGAUACAAUUAAGAUACAAUUAAAAUAAAAUAAAGAACAAUAAAAAAUAAAUAUAGAUAUCUUUCACAAAGAAAAAUCUCAAUUUGACGUUGGUGUUAAGGUAUGUUUACUCUAUUAUAAUAUCAUGACUAUUUGCCUUUGUAACAAGUUAAAUUAUUGUAGACUUGUAUUAUUUCUUAUUUUUCAUCAAAUCAAUCUAAUUACAUAUUAAUUACAUCUGUUAAAACUUAUGAAGUUCCAUCACAUGUUUUAAGUAUUUUUUUUAGCCAUACAUCACAAUGAACAUACUAGGAUAAAGAUAUGUGCCACAUCUUUAAAUAUAAGUAAAUAAUAAUUAAAAAAUUAAAGUAAGAGAAGUCUUAGAUUCAAGAUGACUUUGAAAUAGGUUGAAAUAUCUUGUAUAUUAGCUUUUAUGGGUUGCCAAGAAAUAUUAUAUUAGAUAGAAACAUCCAAUCAAUAUCAAGGUUUUGAAGAAUUCUUUUGAAGGUAUUGAAGGUGGAUAAAAACUAUUUUUGGCUUUCUACCAUUAAAUUGAUAGAGAAAACAAAAAAAAUAAAUAAAAAAUUAUAAUAAUAUCUAAGAUUUAUCAUAAACUACCAUCAAGACAAUCAGUCAAUUAGAUAAUUUUUUUGCUAUUAAAAAAGUUUUUUUUAUAAUAAUAUAGUAUAUUCUUCUAGUUAUCAAUCACAAUUCUAUAUUAACUAUUAUUAUCUUUUGUAAUUUGAUGCUUCAACUUUUUUAAAGUUAAAACUUUAUGCAAAAAAAUAUUGGAUAGGUCAUUUUUUAGAAUUACACACAACAAUGAAGGUAAAAUUAAAAGAAGCUUCUUUUAAUUUUAUUAUAAAUUUAUAAAAAUAAAGAAUCAUAUAUGUGACACUAUCAAUGAUUUAAGGAACCUAUCAACUACCUUCAAAAAGAAAAAAAAAUUAAAGUAUGUAAUAAAUAUAAUUAGAUGUAUUUUGAAUUUUUUAAUAUGUGAUUACUGUUCUUUAUGGAACUUGAUUCUAGAAGAAGUAGUAAUGUUAUAUAUUAAAAAAAUAAUAGAAAUUAUUAAGAUAAAAAGAAUUAGAUAGAAAUAAAUAAAAGUAGGUAAAUUAAAUAACAUCUUCUUGAGAAACUUUUUAAAAGCUUAUAGUUACAAAUAUGACUUUAUAUAUAAUUGUAGAUGAUUGGUAGGUUGAAAAUUUGUCCAACAAGUUGGCGAAGUGUUGUAUAUAUAAGAAACUUGCUUUACAAGUUAGAUACUUAUUGGAAGUCUUUUAGAAUGUUAUCAUAUAGCUCCUAGUUAGAUAACAUAUUCAGAAGCAAGAAUAAGGUCUUUUUUAAUUUUAUCAAUUUAUUAUUUAUUUUUAAUCUAAUUUUAAGAGUCUAUAAUUUUUUAAUCUUGAAGAAUAUCAAUUUUAAUUUCUUCUUAUAUAUAUACAUACAUAUAAAUUGUUGUUUUUUUUUGAUACACAUCGCAUCUAUUAAUUUAUAUUCUUUGGAUUCUUGUUUUUAAUAAUAAAAUAUUAAAGAGGUUAUAUGCAAAUAGAGGCAAGUAAUAGAUAAUUGCAAAUUGAAUAUAAUGGUAAGAAUUGCAUAGAACUUAUUUUCUUAAUUAAAUUUUUUUAAGUAGAUGUCUUAAAUAUGUAAGUCAAGGAUAAGAGAACUAAGACACAAAUUGAACUUAGAAGUUUAAAAUGUAAGUAUUUGAUAGAAUUACCUUGGUAGUUCAAAAUCAAAUCUAUAAUACGUAAUUCAAUUAAAAGAAUAAUUCUUGCAAGAAUAAAGGAUAUUAUUUGUGCAUGUCCAAAGAAAUAGAACUUCUUUGUAAUAAUCAUAGCAUAUUGGCUUCCAAACAAGAAUAGUGACUUAUCUUUAGAAAUAAAGAGCAUUGAAUCUUAACAUGCAAGCAUUCUUUAAGGCAAAGACCUAUAAUUUUAAGGAAGAGUAUAAAUUUAAUAGCAUCAAAGAUCUAAGAAUACCAAAAAUGUAUGAAUUUUUGAUUCUCAUAUUCCACCCUAAAAAGCUUGUAAGGAUUAAGAAAAUUAUGACUAUUGUAUUGGUUGGGGCCAUAACAAGAACCCCUACUAUCAAAUAAACUAAGGUAUUACUUGACAUAAUACAAAAGUUUAUUGUACUAAUCAAGAAGAGUCAAUUUUUAUUUAUUUAUUUAUUUAUUUCUCUUCUUCUUCUUGUAUCACUUCUAAAAUCAAUUUGAGAUAGAUCGGACAUUUUAAGAUUAAAAAAGUUAAUCAGGACUUAUACAACAAAUUUUUGAUAUUUUUAAUAAUUUUUACUUAUAAUUUAUGAAAACAAUUAUAUGACAAUUUCUUCUAUAAAUAAAACAUAAAAAAUUUAAAUUUUAACCUUAUAAAUAAUUAUUUCAUCAAAAAUAUUGAUCCAUAAUUACAUAUUAUAAGCACAAUAUUUAAUUAAGAAAAUAUAUAUUUUUAAUUUUAAAUUAAUUAAAUUCUCUACAUAUUUUUAAUUUGAAAUUAAAUAAUUUUAAAGUAUGUUUAUAAAUAAAUUUAUUAAAAAAUACAAUAUUUAUAUAAAUAGAAAAAUAAUACAGUUCUUUUGAUCAAAUAUAUUAAAAUAAAAAUAUCAAUAAUAAAAUUUAAAUAUUUUUUAUUUCAAAUUUAAUUUAAGUGAGAGAUUUUCUUUCUAAUUUCACUUCAAGUUACUUACUGUUUUUAUAUAUUUUAGUAUUUAAAUCAAGAGAUAGAGUGUUUUUUUUGACAACCAAGUGUAAAAGUUUAGGAUUUUGUUUUGUGACAAGAUAAAAAUAAGUAAUAAAUGUAAUGUCUUAUAGAAAAAUUUGAAGCAAAUUUUGAGAAAGAAUUCAAAUUUAUUUUGUGUAAAAUUGUUUUUAACAUAAAAUAAAUGUUUCUAUAAGAAGAUUGUGAGAUAUUUUUUAAUUGUAUAACUAUAAUUUAGAAUAGAGAUUAAAAGAAGUUAAUUUGUAAAAAUAAAAAAAUGAAAGAUAAAAAAGCACUAUUGAAUUUAUAUGUAUUAUUUUUUUAUGUAUCUAGUCAAAUAUGAUAGAUUUAAUUUUAAAAGUUUCAAUUAUUAUUUAGAUAAUAAUAUAGAUUAAAAAUACAUAACUACGAGAAAAUCUAAUUAUUUAAUGAAUUUUAUUUUUAUAAAAUUAUUAUUUGAAUUUAAAAAAUUAAAAUUUUAUUUAAAUACUCAUAUUAAUUUUUACUAAAUCUGAAUAAAGUAAAAAAUUUAUGAUAGAAUAUACUUAUAGAAUUUACUAAUAUAAUCAAUUAAAUAGAAUAUUAAAAUUAUAAUAAUGUUUUUACAAAAAUAAUUAUGAUUUAGUCAAUGAAGAUUAAGAAUAAAAUAAUAUAUUAUUUUUUAAAAAUAUGAGUAUAUAUUAAUAAUAACGAAUUCUAUAUAAAAAUAAUAAUUUUAUCAAAUAAUAAUAUCUAGCAUAAUUUGAAUUAUUUUCAAAUAAUAAUAUUUAUUUAUUUAUUUAAAUUAAUCAUAAUAGUUUAUUAAUGUAUAUAUAUAUAUAUGUAUAAAUAAAAAUUCAUGUUGCUAGGCACUAUAAUCUUUAGUUUUUUCAUUCAUUUACUUCUUUAUUUAUUCAUGUUUAUUCAAUAAAAAGAUUUUUUAUGUCUUUAUUUUUGUACAAGGCAUAAAUCACAAAGAAUCAAAGUAUCACUAUACUCUUGUAUUACUUUAAAAUAAUAGAUAAUUUCUCAAAGAUAAUAUAAUAUUAAAAUAAAAUAGCUAUUAUCAAAGAUAAAAAAAAAUUAGAGACUCUUAAAAUAAGAUUAAUAAUAAGAAAGGCAUUGAUAAGAGUGAAGAAAGCUUCAUUCUUAAUUUUAUGUAUAUAAUUACAAACAUCCAAUUAGAAGAUUUUAGAAAUAUUUUUAGAAUAUUCUAUUAGAUUCUAAAAUAUUUCAAAAGAUUAUUAAAAGAUUUUUAGAAGAUUUUUAGAUAGUUGUAGAAGGUUUUUAAGAUAUUUUAGUAAGUUCUAGAAAGUUCUAUGAAGAUUAAGAAAGUUGUUCAGAAAGCUUCUUAAGAUUGUUUUCUCUUUAAGCAAUAUAGAAACUUCUUGAAGAGCUUCUUAAAAUUGCUACAUCUUCAAGCAACAUGGAAAUUUCUUAAAAAAAUUCUUAGUGCCUAGAUUAUAUCAGAGUCAAGGCUAAAGGGAUUGUCAAUUUCAAUAAUAUAUCUUUUGAGCUCUACGUCACCUUUCUUGAUAUUAGUCUUGUAUUCAUCUAGUUAAAAGAACUUGUUAGCUUUCUUAUUAAAAUUCUUUUAUUUAUCUUUUUAUUUAAUCUCUUGUAUAGUAUAUCCAUGACACAAAGUAUCUAAUUUAUAAUUACAUGGCAACAUUCUAAAGAAUCCUUCAUACAUGUCUAACUUAUAAGACAUAUAUGUAACAUGUAAGAAAAAUUUCAUACAUAUGUGCCACAUGGCUAAUUUAUUGACUAAUUUUUCAACCUAUAAAUUAACUAUAAAUAUGCAUAAAAUUAUAUUUAUAAUCAUAAAGCUUCUAAGAAGUUUUUUUAUAAGAUAUUAUCAAAUCUAUCUAUAUUUAUCUUCUACCUAUGACUUCUUAUCUAUAUGAUUAUGUAUAUCUUUGAUAAUAUUUUUGAUUUUAAGAAUAGAUUUUAAAAAAAGUGAAGAUUAUAAUUUGUUUCUUCAUUCUAAAUUUGAUUGAUAUUAUUGAUUGAUAUUAUUCAUUGAUAUCAUUAACCUUCUUUAUUAUAUUUGCAAGGUUACCUACUAGUUCUAAUAUGUGUUCACUAAUACUAUAUCCAUAUUAAUGUACAAGAUAUUUCAACCUCUUUUAACGCAAUCUUGAGUCUAAAACUUCUCAUAUUUUAAAUUUUUGAUUAUUAAUUACUUUUAUUAGAAGAAUUUAUAUUUAUACUUUUUUAAAUAUAUCCAUUAUUUUGUAUGGCUUAUAAAAAGACAUGUAGAAUAAAAAAUGAAUCUUUAUAAAUUCUAAUAGAUUUAAUCAAUAUAAAAUUAGAUUGAUUUAUUUAUAAAUAAAAAUUGUAUAAAUUUAUAAUAAUCAAUGUUGUUACAAGGGCGACUAGUCUUGAUAUUAUAACAAAACAACCAUACCUUGUAUUAAAGACAUGAACAAGAAGAAGAUGUAUAAACUUAAAAAAUUUCUGUUAAAAGAAAAGUGACAAAAUAGCAAUAAAGUAGUAUGUAUAUUAAAAGAAAAUUGGAAUGGCUAUUUCCAAAAGACAAGAAAACUAGAGGCUUUUAAAUCUAGACUAGAAGUAAGAAAAGAAUUGACAAGAAUGAAGAAGGCUUCACUCUUGCCUCUAUGUAUACUAUCUAACUAGGAGCUACAUGGUGAUGUUCUAUAUGACUUUUAAUAUGUGUUGACUUCAUAAGAUACAUGCCUUAGCUUACAAGACAAGUUUUUCUAAGUGUGGGCCACAUAGUUAGCUUGUUCUUGAAGCUACCAACAUGUAUGGCACAUGGCCAACUUGUUGAUCAUUUUUCUAAUCUAAAAAGUCAAUUAUAUGCACCAAUAAAGUCAAAAUAAUGUCUAUAAAGCUUUUAAGAAGCUUUCAUAGAAGAUAUUAUAGAAUUAACUUACUUUCUCCUAUUUUUAUUUAAUUAUAUAGGUAUUUAUUAGUUAACAUGUAUAUAUCUAUUAUUUUAAUAUGUGGAAUUUGGCUUAAAAAUGCACCAGGCACCUAGUUGUGGAAGAUAAAAGAAAAAUUACAACAAAAACUCCUAACAACUUUAAUAGAUUUUUAAACAAAUUACAAUUAAAGAUUAGCAAGUAUAAUCAAAUAUCAAUCAAAUUCAAUCAAAAUUGCAAAGGAAUUCUGUAAGAAAUACAAAAUAUUCCUAAAGACCCUUCAAAGAAAUCAUAAAGAAAUAACAUAGGAAUUCAAAAAUAUACUAAAAUAAAAAUCUUAAUAUAAUAUUAAAAUAGAAAUUUUAAUUAAAUCCUAAUCAAAUUCUAAAAAAAUCUUAAUCAAAUCCUAAUCAAAUCCUAAAGAAAUUUUAAUCAAAUCCUAAUUAAAUCCUAAAUAAAUCUUAAUCAAAUUCUAGUCAAAUCCUAAAUAAAUCCUAGUCAAAUCUUAAAAAUUUCUAACCAAAUACUAAAUAAAUCUAAAUAAAACUUAACCAAAAUCCAAUCAAAUCCUAAACAUACCCUAAUUAAAUCCUAAAUAAUCCAAGUAAAUCCUAUAGCAGAUUUAAAUAUCAAUAACUAAUGAAUGAAUUAUUGAUUUUAACUCAAAUUUUGCACACCUCUUCAAAAUUAAGUUGAUUAUAAGUACAAAUAUUUUGAAGAAGAUUAAACUCACCAAAAAGAAGAUCAAUCCUAAUAUUUGCUUGGAUGUUGGUCAGUCUCUUCUUUCAAUCUAAAUGUUGAAUUUCUAGCAUCAAUAUCUCCUUAUUGAACCAUUUGAUUGAUCUCAAAUUUCUCAAAGAUAUAGAAAAAUAAUUCUAUUAUCCAAAUAUAUAAUUUUGACUCUAAUCCAAUUCAUAGAUUGUGAAAAAUCUUAAAAACCCUCAUUAGACCUAAAAUUCUAUUUCUUGAGAUCCUAAUCCACUUAAACCUUAAUAAUCCUUGAUCCAACUCUUUAAUCAAGCUAAAACUUACAAAAUAUAUUGAACUCAUGUAUAUCCACAAACCCUCAAAAUUUCAUCUAUAGAUCUAUUGCCAAACUUAUAAAAUUCUCUAAAACUUAUCACCCUCUUUAUUUUACAUAUCUAGAGUCAUCCAAAACAAAUCCUCACUUUAUAAAGCUCUUACAAAGUCAAUUCACACUCAAAUCACAUCAAAUUAAUAUUAAAAAAAACCUAUCAAGUCAGCUCUUAGAUACUAUCCUCUAAUUUCCAAAAGAACCUUAGAAUCGUCAUUGAGGCUUAGUUUUGUGCCUUGGGAUCUGAUUUCGAUCCUAGUUCAUAAUCGGCCCUUUAGAUAUUAAUAUCUAGUUUUUUAGAUAAUUUUUGUUAGAAUUUACUCUUAACUUCUUCCUAAAGAUACUUAUAUUAUUAAUUUUUUCAAUCUACCUUAUUUUGCCUUAUUUAUAGCCCUACAAAGUAAGUAGAAGUCAUUUUUUUAAAAAGAUAGCAUUACUAUUAAAAGUUUUACUACCUUCUUAUCUUUUAUCCAUAUUUUUCUACUUUAUCUUUUAACUUGGCUCUUCUAUAAUAAGAUCCAUAUUUUUAUCUUUCACUAUAUAAUCAUGUUACAAUACAACACCGUGAUAUUAUCUCUCCUUCAAAGGACAAGUUCCACAAAGAGCAGUCUUCAUAUGUCGAGGAAAUCAUAUCUUGGAUUUGCCACAUACUUUGAUAUUUGUCCUCUUUGAAGAUAGUUGACAGGCCUUCUCAACCAUAGAUAGUGUCUUAUAUGAGGGCAAGAAAACCACCCUAUUAUUUGGUCAUUAUUGAAGCAUUUGUAACUUCCUUUAAAUAAAAAAUUUAAAACACUAUCAGGAAUUGUUCUUACAUCUAAUAAAAUCACUAAACAUUGAGAGUCUCUUCCAAGGUUGUGGUACAAAACACAUUGUAUCUUGCCAUCUAUUCGAGAAAAGACAUGUCAUUCAUUAGGAUCUUUAUCUCGAUUUUGUUGUCUUGAAGAUUGUAACAAUUGUAAUGUCUUGUCUAGUGAGUCCACAAAUAAAAGCUUUUGAGUUGAAUCUACUAGUUAUUGAUUCUUCAUCUCUUUAGUAUCACAAAUACAUAGAGGCUACAAAAAAAGAGAGAAUGUAGAAUAUAAUCUUUUUUGGACUUUGUUUCUUUUAUAGAAAAGACUUAUUAUUCUUCAUUUUGAUUUUGAUGGAUAUUAUUAAUGAAAAGCCACCAUGACCUUUCUUGCAUUUGCAAGAUUUUUUAUUAGCUUUCAUGUAUAUUUACUAAUAUCAUAUUGAUGCCAAUGGACAAGAUAUUCUAAUUUAUUUUGGCACCACCUUGAGUCUAAAACUUCUUCCACUUUACAGUUUUUAUUAUUAUUCACUUCUAUAGGAAGAAGUAGAACUUGCUUCUUUUUGGUAUGUUCAUAGUCUUGUAUGGUUUAAGAAGAAACACAUGGAAGACAUGAUAGAUCUUCAUUGCAUUUGAUAGAUGUAAUCAAUAAACAACUAGAUAGAUUUAUGCACAAAUAGGAAAAAUUCUAAGCUUGCAAUAAUCCAACUUAUCACAAAGACAAGUAGUCUUGAUAUUAUGAUGAAAUAACUAUACCUUCUUACCUACAUCGAUUUUUGGUUGUUCCUUUUGAUAGGCAUUUACGUUGUUCUUUUGUUGUUCUUGAACUUCCAUUAAUUGCACCUUUAUUGUUGCAUGGAGCUUUGACAAAUAAUUUGCCAAACCUUUUGCUACAUAAUUAUCAACUUUUGAAAAGUCAAAAGCAUCAAGUUAUGAAUAAUAACCAUAAUUAGUAAAGAAAAGAAUUUUUAUAUUAAGGAAUGUAUCAUAUUAUUAUAAGUAAACUCUGCCAAUGGUAAGAUGAUUCUUCAAUUGUCUUCUUAAUAAUUCAUCGUACACCUUAAGUAUUGCUCCAAAACUUGAUUUAUGCAAUUUGUCUGUCUAUCAAUUUAAAGAUGAAAGGCCAAAGAAAGCUUUAUGUCUAUCUUUGAAAUCUUAAAAAGAAUUUUUCAAAAUCUUAAUAUAAAUUGAAUCUUCCUAUUUGAUAUAAUAUCUUUUGAUAAUCCAUGAUAUUAAUAGAUAUUGUAAAAAAAAAGCUUGGUAAUUUUUUCACCUGUGAUAGAUUUUGUACAUGAUACAAAAUAUGCCAUUUUGAUAAAAUGGUCUACUAUCACAAAUAUAUAAUCACACAAUCUUGAGACUAAAAGGUCCAUAAUAAAAUCCAUAUAAAUAGAAGAUCAUUGUUGUUUUGGAAUAGAUAAUGAUUGAAGAAGUCCAUAAGAUUGAUGCCGAGGAGUUUUUGACCUUGAAUGAAUGUUACAUGUUUGAACAAAGUUUUUUACAACCUUUUAUAUUUACGGCCACCAAAAAUCUCUAGUUAUUAGCUCCAAAGUCUUUUUGUAUCUAAAAUAUCAUGCUAUUGGAAAGUUGUAAUGUGCUUGAAGAACACAUAAACGUGCUUUUUUGAUACAUAUAGGUAUUCUUUGAAAUAAAAUAGGUUAUUUUUGAACUACAACUUUGAAGUAACAUGAGACUUAGAAGAGGUAUUCUUAAUAUCAUGAACAAGAAGAUCAAAGGACAUAAUUGAUUGAAAUGUUUGAAAAAAGUUGAAUCAAUAGUCAAUGUUGAUUUCACUACUUGAAGAUGAAAUUAUUUUGGCUUCAAUAAAAUUAUCUUUUGUUGAUUAAAAAAUGGCCUCCUUCUUUAGGUGUAAGAUAAGAAUGUCUAGAAAGGACAUCAAAUAAACCUUAUUUUUUUACUAGUCAAUAAGUGAUAUUGAACUCAAAUCUUGAUAAAGACAUGCUCCAACAAGCCUAGCAAGGAUUCAAAAUACAUAUUGACAUGAAAUACUUGAGGUUCUUCUAAUCUGUAUAUACAGUGACUGGAUUGAAAGUGUCUUCUAAAUAAUGAUGCCAUUCUUGAAAAGAAUCUAUAAUUGUAAAAAGCUCUUUAUCAUAGAUUUUAUAGUUAAUCUUGGCUGCUGAAAAUUUCUUGGAAUGAAAAGCUAGUAGGUGAAAUUUUUCAUCUAUUCCCAUUUGUGAUAAUAUAGCACUUAAAAAAAAUUCUGAUGCAUUUAUUUCUAUGAAGAAUGCCUUAGAGAAGUCAAUACAAUACAAGAUUGGUGUAAAAACAAAGAUAGUCUUUAAAGCUCCAAAUACUAUUUUUACUUCUUGAUUCUUUUGAAGUUUGUCUUUAAAAGGUCAAAUGAGUAAGUAGAGCUAUAAUUUGAGAGAAGUCCUUGAUGAAGAUCCAAUAAUAAUUGAAAAAUUUUAAAAAAUAUUAGACGUCUUAGACUAUUUUUGUACUUAAUUUGAAAUGUAAUUUUCUAUUCAUUUGUUUCUUUGAUGCAUAUCAGAUUGUAUGCUUUUUUUAGAUCUAUUUUUUUUAUAGAUCUUUGCUUAAUUCAAUUAAUUAAGAAUUUUAGAUAUUAAAUGUAGGAAGUACUUAUUUUUCAUGGUAAUCUUGUUGAAUCCUUGAUAAUCAAUAUACAUCCGUAAUGAUCCAUCUUUUUUUUUUCACAAAUAAAAUUGGAGCUCUUGCUGGAAAUUUGGAAUGGCAUAUGAAGUUCUUGGCUAAAUUCUCUUCAAUAUACUCCUUGAAUUUGGCUAACUCAUUUUGUGAUAAAUUGUAGAUUGGUCCAAAUGGUAGUUGUGCUCCUUCUUGAAGAUCAAUUGAACAGUUAUAGAGAUGAUGUUUUGAAAGAGUAUUUAUAUAUAUAUAUAUUUUUUUUUCAAAAAUAUCUUGAAAAUCUUGAUAUUGGCUUGAAAUACCACUUAAAGUCUUUGAAAUAUUAGAAAUAAGUGUGGCAUAAAUGACACAAGGUGAUCCUACUUUUGCAACAUACAAGAAAUCUCUUACACCUACAAACAUUGGUUUAAUUGUACUCGACUUGUGAUUUUCUACUUGAUUAAUUAUAGUCUUAGUUACACUUUUAGAAAAGUUAAGAGUACAAGAAAUCCAAUCUACUCAAGGAUUAUAUUUUUUUAAUCAUAAUAAAUCUAAAAUAAUUAGAUUAGACAAAGAUUUAUUGAUAUUAAAUACUAAAAAGCUAUUAUGACUAUUAAUUAAUACUUCUAUUGAAAGGAUUUUAUGAGUAAUAUCUCCAAAAGACAAUGGGCAAUCAUUUAUGAAUUCUAUGUGAAUAGGUUUAGUUGUCUUUACUAAAGUUAUUCUAAGUCUUUUAUCAAAUUCUUCAUCUAAGAAACAUGCUGAGGCUCUUGAAUUUAAUAAGACAAAGGCUUUGUAAUGUAUAGGUCCUAAAAUAAUAUUUAAUAUAAAAAAAGAAGAGGUUUUGAAGAGAGAAUAGAACCUUUAUUAGGUAUUGUAUAAGGGUGUAGUUGCAUGGUCCCUAUUGUGACUAGACAAACUUGUUUUUCAAUAUAUUGUCUUCUUUGACAUUUGCACUCUUAAUUUUAUAAUUGUAUCACUUUUUUAGAUAAUAUUGAGUAGUGUGCUUAAGUUCUUUAUAAUAUAAGUAAAAUCCUUUUUGACAACGACGAGUCUUCUCUUGCUUAGUAAGAAGAUUGAAACAUAUCACAUCAAUUUGCAUAUCCUCUACUUUUGAAUAUAUGUAUUGAUGAGGCAUUAUUGUUGCUAUUGAAUUAUAAUAACGUUGAUGCCCACUUGUCCGACUCUUAGAUUAAAAUUUUAAAAAUUGAUUAUUACAAUUUACAGCAAAGUCAAUUACUUGAUUCAAUAUUUGAAGAUCAAUUAAGUUGAGCAUCAAUUUCUUUACCUCAUAUUGUAAUCUAUAAAAAAAUUGGCUAAUAAAUAUAAGCUCAUUCUACUUGAUAUUAAUUACAAAUUAUCAAAAUUAUGAAGCAUAUAAUGUUAUGGAUCAAUUGUCUUAUUAUAAAAUAUAAAUCUUAUUAAUUAGAACAUAAAUUGUAUCAUAUUUUUCAUACAUGGAUCAAAAAUUUUCUAAAAAAGCCUCCAAAUUAUCUAAUAUUGAAUCUUAUUCUUGAAGAAAAGAUGAAAAUCAUGAUAAUGCUAAACUUGAAAGAAAUAUAUCAAUGAAUCUAACUUAUGAUCAUAGAGUUGGAUAUCUUUGGAGUUGAAGUUCAAUCAAAAGUUGUAUUUGAUUGAUAAAUCCUCAAAAUUUGGAUCUUGUGCCAUCAAAUUUCUCAAGCAGGUUAAAUCUUAAUUCUUUAGUACCAAAAAAUUGUUCCACUGUAGGAGAAGAGACAUGAUUGAGUGCACAUGUUGAAGCAGCUCCAAUCAUAUCUAUAUCAUUAGUUUUUGCCAUUCUUGUUGUUUUUUGUAGUGGAAAACUUAGUUGAUGCAUCACAAGCACUAAUUCUCUCAAUUGCUCUUAUAUUUGUGCCAUUACUCUCUUCAUUUUAAUAAUCUCUGGGAUGAUAAUACUUAAAAAAUAAAUGUCUAAUAUUCCUCAACACAAAUAAAAGAGGGAACUUGAAAACAAAGAAGAUACUAAGAACAAUAUUAGUUUAAAAGAGGAUAAUCUACAACUUUUAAUAUGCUUAUGUCUUAUCAUAAAAAGAAGAUAAUCUUCUCUUAAUCAAGAGGAGAUAAAGCUCUAAUAUUAUAAGUGUACUCUUAUCAUUUUAUCAAGGACAUGAAUUAGAAGAAGAUGAAUAAACCUAAAAAAUAUAUGUUAAAAGAAAAGUAAAAAAAUAGCAAUAAAGUAAUAUAUAUAUUAAAAGGAAAUUGGAAUGGCUAUUGUCAAAAGACAAGGAAACUAGAGACUCUUAAAUCUAGACUAAAAGCAAGAAAAAAAUUGAUAAGAGUGAAGAGGGCUUUGUUCUUACCUCUAUGUAUACUAUCUAACUAAGAGCUACAUGGUGAUGUUCUAUAUGACCUUUAAUAUACAUUGACUUUAUAAGACACAUGUCUUAGCUUACAAGACAAGUUUUUCUAAGUAUGGACCACAUGAUUAGCUUGUUCUUCAAGCUACUAAUAUGUGUGGCAUAUGGCCAACUUGUUGACCACAUUUCUAAUAUAAAAAGUCAAUUAUAGACACUAAUAAAGUCAAAACAGCAUGUAUAAAGCUUCUAGGAAGCUUUUAUAGAAGAUAUUAUAGAAUUAAUCUACUUUUAUCUACUUUUAUUUAAUCAUAUAGGUAAUUAUUGGUUUAUAUGUGUAUGUCCAUUAUACCUUAUUGCUAACGUGAAAUAGAGGUUCUUCUUCAUAAUAGGUAUCUAUAUUGAUCUUUUUUUAUUCUUAAAUUACUUUUAAUUUUGCCUUUACUCUUACAUAUAGUUCUAAUAAAUAAUUUUUCAAAUCUUUUGCUGUAGGAUUAUUAAUUUUUGUGAAGUCAAAAGUAUCAAGUCAUGGAUGAUAAUCAUACUUAGUAAAAAAAAUAUUUACUUAAUUUUAAAAAGUAUUAUUUUCUUAUAAGUAAAUUUUAUUAAUAAAAAAAAUAAUUAUCUAAUAAUCUUGAUAAUAGUUGAGGAUACAUCUCAAAUAUUGCUCCAAAAUUUAAUUCACUUAUUUUGACUGUCCAUGAGUUUGAAGAUAGAUAGUCAAAGAUAGUUUUAUAUCUAUUUUUAAUAUUUUAAAUAAAGUUCUUCAAAAUAUAGAUUGAAUUCCUUUAUCUAAUAUAAUAUUCUUGAGCAAUAAAUUUUAAAAAUAAAUAUUAUCAAAAAAAAAAUUAGUUAUUUUUUUUAUCUAUAAUAGAUUUUAUACAUAAUACAAAAUGUGCCAUCUUAGUAAAACAAUGUAUUAUUAAAAAUUUAAAGUCAUAUCAUUUUAAAAUUAUAAUAAUUUGAUAUAAUCUAUUUAAAAAAACCACAAUUGUUCAAUAUUGAUAAUUGCUAAAACAAUUGAUAAGGUUAAUGACAAGGAAUUUUUGAUUUUAAAUAAUUAUCAUAAAAUUAUAUAAAGACUUUAAAUUUUUUCUGAUUUUAAGCUACUAAAAUUCUCUUAAUAUUAAUUCCAUGGUCUUGUUGUAUCCAAAAUAUCAUGAAGUAGAAAAAUUAUGACGAACUUAAAGAAAACUUAAUCAUGCUUCAUCUUCUUAAAUAUAUAAGUGUCCUUCAAAAUAGAAUAAAUUGUUCUUGAAUUCAAACUUAGAAAUAUUAUAAAUUUUAAAAAUAUUAUUCUUAAUAUCAUGAAAAAAAAUAUUUAAGGAUAUACUUGAUUGAAUUUGUCUAUAAAAAAUUGAAUCUAUAGUUAAUAUUCAUUUUAAGCUCAAAGAUAAAAUUAUUGUGGCAUUAAAAGAAUUAUUCUUUGUUGAUUAAAAGUUGGAUAUAUAUAUAUAUAUAUUUUUUUUAAGUAUAAAAUACAAACAUCUAAAAAAGAAAUUCAACAAUCCUUUUAUUUUUUUGGUUGAUAAAUCAUUUUGAAUUGAAAUCUUGACAAAGACAUGCUUUAGUCGGCUUGGCAAUAAUUUAAAUCACAUGUUGACAUAAAAUAUUAGAGAUUUUUGUAAUAUAUAUAUAUAUAUAUAUAUAUAUAUAUAUAUAUGGUGACAAGUUUAAUAGCAUCUUCUAUAUAAUGGCACCAUUUUUGAAUUGAAUCUACAAUUACAAGAAACGUUUUGUGGUAGAUCUUAUAGUUGAUCUAAGCUAUUGAAAAUAAAUUCAAAUAAAAAACUAUUAAAUUAAUUUUCUCAUCUAUUCUUAUUUAUGAUAAUACUGCAUUCAAAAAAAUAUCCAAUGCAUCUAUUACUAUAAAAAAUUCUUUAAAAAAUUCAACAUAUUACAAGAUUGAUGCAAAAAUUAAGUUGUUUUCAAAACUUCAAAUGUUCUUUCAACUUUUUUAUUCCUUUUAAUUUUUUCUUAAUAAGUCAAAUUUAUAAUUAAAUUUAUAACUCGAAAAAAUUUAUUAAUAAAGAUUUUAUAGUAAUUGAUAAAUCUCAAAAAAAAUUACAUAUUUUAAAAUUUUUCUUAGAAUCUUUUAAUAAAAAAUAAUAUAAAUUUUCUUAGAAUUUACCAUAAGACUAUCAUUUAAAUUGAUAUAUUUUAAUAAAUCAACUUGAACUAAGUGAAAUAUAAACUUUUCUAUCUUGACAUUAUCAUGUUAGAAAGUAGCAUAAUAUAUAAAAAUAAUAUAAAAUAUUAUGAAUGUUUAGAUUUUAAUUAAAAAUAAAAAUAAAAAAUAAAUUUAAUAAAAUAUUUAUCUAAUUUAUUUAAUUUUAUAGUUUAAAUUUUAUAAUUAAAGGUAGAAGAUGUGAAUUUAUUAGUAAGAAGUAUUGAGGGGCUUUGAAGUCAAAAGUAUAAUACUUUGACUCUUAAGCCAUCUUAUGUAGGUGGAUAAGAUGAGUGGCAAGGACUUUAUUUCUAUUAGUUGAAAGUCAUAUUCAAUGGCCUUCAAGAUAUUAUUUGAGACCAUACUAAAGUUUGAAACUACUUUAGGGCGACUCAUUUGAGGCAAGGCAAACCAUUUCAAGCAAAGCAACACAUCAAAAGUUUGGAGGUUGGAUUCAAAAAGUGUGUAUUUUGGACUAGAAUUUGACAUGAAAGAAAUAUGUGAUUUGGAAUUUUAAUGAGAGAAUUAGGGUUGUUUGAAGUGAGAGAGUGAUUUUGGUAUCUAUUAUUAUUUUUUUAAGUAUUUUUAAGAAAGCUUUAAAAAAUAAAAAUUAGGAUUCAAAAGUAUACUUAAAGAACUAUAUUUUAUAUAAAAAAAUUGAUACAUUUUAAUCUAGAAUAAAAAAAAGAGCUAUUGGAAGUUAAUGUUGAAAAUUGAAGUUUAUAAGUGAGUUUUUUUUUAAUGGAGAUUUUGAUUUUUGAAUUUUUGGACGAAUUUUAUGCUCAAAAUUUUUAUAAAUAUAGAUGACUAUAUUAGAAAGUUUUACAUAUAAAAUUCAUAAUAUUUAAGUAUUGGAUUUUUGAAAUAUAAAGGAAUUAAUGAGUGCAUGCCUAAAAAUUAAAAUGUUUAAUACUUGCUUGAGAUUAGGCAAUGUCAAAAGACUUGUAAUGAAUUUAUAGUUGAAUUUUUAUAUAGAGGUAGUUAAAGAUAUAAGUUAAGUUGUAAAAAAAAUUUGAAUCCAAUUAGAUAAUUAGAUUGGAAUUUAUUGAAUGAUAUAUAUAUAUAUAUAUAUAUAUAUAUAUAUAUAUAUAUAUAUAUAUAUAUAUAUAAGGAAUUUCUAUAGGAAUAGAAGUGAUUUUAGGAUAUUUAGUCACAUUUUAAGUACUCUUGUGCAUCCUAAAUUUAUGUAUUUGAUAUAAUUAUCUUAUUAAAGAUAAGCUAUAAAUCAUAUUUGAUUUUUAUAAUCUUGUAACUUGUUUUGAAGCAACUCUUUUUACUACCACAUUUGGUGCUUUCUCUAAGAUAGGCUUAAUGUACUAAUUUUCCAACAAGUCAAGAUGGAAGAUACAAAACAAGGAGGCUCAAAUGAUGGAGGUAGUCAAAAUAUUUUAGAUGAAUUUUUAAAGGCUAUACAAAUAUUAGUGGGCCAAAAAGUUAUUAAUGCAAUUUUGCAAAGGACUACUAAAGCAUUGAAGGAUGUUAUUAGCAAAGCAUGGAGGUUUCAUGAGAAUAAUAACAUUAAAUUUUUGAGGGUCUAUAUAAAACAAGAGUGAAUUUUCUUAAAGAUCUAAAACACUUCCAAUCUAUAACAACAUAAAUUCCAUUAUAAAGUAGGAUAAUACAUAUCAAAACAAAACUAAAUAAAAUUAUUCAAAACAUAACAUAAAAGAUAAAAUAAAGCAAAAGAAAAUAGAAUAAAUAAAGUAAAAAAUAAAAAUCAAAUUUUAUUAAGAAAAACGGUCCAAAGCCAUACUUGACUAAAUGCUUCAAAUGGCUUUAUUUAGUCCUAUUUAUAUUUUGUCCAACUAUCUUAAAACUUUUUAAAAUAUCUUUAAUAGUAAAUUUUACCAAAAUAAUCAUCAUUUGAAAAGAUUUUAGAGGUAGAUCCUACCUAGAUAACCACCUUUAGUUCUUUUAGAAUGUUCUAUAGUGGACUUCACAUGGACCACAAACUUGGUCUCAAUUUUAAAAACUUCUAAAAAAUUUCCAAAAAACAGCCCUAAUUACCUAUCUCUAUAUGUCAAUAAUACAAUUAUCUUAUUCAUGUCCCAUUAUAGUUAAUUCUCUUCUAUUAAUGCAAAACAUCUUUAUUUCCCUCUCAAAGGUAUUUUUAGAUUCUUUCUUGAUAAUAGGUGAAAUUCUAUACAAGUUCUUAUGUUGUAUUGUGGAUGGGAUAACCUUUUUAAAGGACCUUGUAUUGAAAUUAUAGAUGUCCAUUGUGACAACAAAGGUAGCAAUGCUCCAAAAAUAUUGUCUAUUUCAUACUCUUCUUGGCUAUCAAUUACAACCAAUAGUAGUGGUAGUUCAUAUCAAUCCAAGAAGUACCUUAGUUCAAUAUAAAAUUCUUUAAGUUACAAAACAUUAAAGACCUGAAUAUGUGGUAGAAGCUUGAGGUAGUAUACAACAUAAAAAAUCACUAUAGAAAUGAGAAAAGGUCCAAGCUACCAAAGUACCAACUUACAAUCUUUCAUUGAUGUAGCAAGUAGAAAGUUGUCAUUAGAAGGUAAUAACUAGUCAUCUUUUACAAAGAUCUUAUGUUGCCAGUAGUUAUCUAUACACUACUUCUGUUGAUUCUAUAUAAUAAGGAGGUGGUGUUGUCCUUCUUGCAAGGCAAUUGUAAACUAUUGUAUAAAUUCUUCUAUUGUUAGGUUAUUGGUAUUGAUAGAAUGAUAGAGAGUUGUUGGUAUAAUCAGAUGGUGAUUAGUACUAAGAAAGAAUGGUGAAUGACUAGUACUUACUUGAAUAUUAUCAUUAUAAGUAAACUCCAAAGGUAUCAAAUACUCAUUUUAAUCAUUAUGGUGAACCACCACAAAUACUCGAAGCAUAUCCUUCAAGGUUCAAUUUACAUGCUUUGUUUGUCCAUUUAUUUAAGGAUAAAAGGCCAUUGACAUGGGAGAUAAUGUAUCUAAUAGCUUGAAUAAGGCUUGUCAAAAAUUAUCCAUAAAACACAAAGCUUGUUCUAAAAUGAUGAUAUAAGAUAAUCCACAGUGACAAAAGAUAGUAUUAAAGUAGUUUCAUGUAAAUAUUGAGACAUCAAUAUCAGAUUAUAUUAUAGCUAAGUAAAGUUAUUUUAAGAGUCGAUCCAUAAAGACAUCAAUUGCGAUAUCAUUAUAAGGCAUUACAACAAACAUGUAAUGAGUUCUGUGGUCACUUGCUCCCAAUAUAUUGUUAGUAGUAGAAUUAGGAGCAAUAGCAUAAGAAAUGUCAUAUUGUGUACUUUGUUAUUUUAACAUGACCUAUAAGGAUGUACAAAAGCUCAAACAAUAUGGUCCAAACCUAUCCAAAAUCAUAUUUUAGAGAUUUAUUCUAGAGUCAUUUCAUGCCUUAAAUGCUUUAAUAUUGGAAUAUCAUAUCCUUCUUGAAGUAUGUACGUCUCACAUAUAACAUCAUCAAGUACAUAAAUUUACUUCUUAAAAUAAAAUAAGCCAUCACUAAGAUUAUAAUCUUCAUAUUCUACAUUGCUCACACUUAGCUAAUUGCUAAUAAUCUUGAAUUAAAUAGCUUAAUGCAUAGCUUCCUUCCAAUUUGCUUCUUUGAUUAGGUUUAAAAUGAUACUCUUAAUAAUAGUAAUUUCUAUCUUAUCUUUCAAUUUGGCCUUCAAAUUUAAUCUUUGCAAUAAGCUGUUUGAUACAAUAUGUUAUUGCCCUUAUUUAUACUCAAGCUAAAUGUCAAAAAGCUGUAAUUAUUCUUUUCAAUGAUAAUGUAGUAAUUUCAUAUUUUUUAGAUACAAAUUGUAUAGCAAAGAUUGAUGGUUAAUCCAAACAAUCACUGAUUUCUCCAAUAGAUAGUAUUGCCACUCUUUUGUUGCUUAUACAAUUAUUAAUAACCCUCAAUCAUGUGUAGAGUAAUUGCACUUUGUCCUUCUAAGCUUGUCUAAUUUAUAUGCCAUGAAUUGAAGGCCUCUACUAACGUCUUAUUUAAGGACCUCUCCAAUAGAAAAGUCGGAUGCAUCAAUAUCAAGUAUAUAAGAAAGAAUGAAAUUAUACAGUUGCAAUAUUGAAGUAGAAAUGAGUGCAUCCUUCAAUCUAUUAAAUGUACUUUGUUACACUAGUUUUCAUUCAAAUGGGACACCUUUCUCUAAUAGGCUUAUUAAUGAGGCAAUAAUGUGUAUAAAUCAUCAAAUAAAAUGGCUAUAAUUUCUAGGAAGGCUUUAAAAUGAGUAGACUUCACAAUCAUCUUUGAAAGUUGACCAAUCUUCUAUUGCUUUCAUAUUAUCUUACUCCAUGCAUAUGCCCUUGAAGGACACUGUAUGUUUUAAAAAAAUAACUUCCUACUUCUAAAGUUUAUACUUUAAUUGCUUGCAAUAGAAGCAAUUAUCUAGUAGUAGGCACAUCACUUUUUAUAGGUAUUAUUCAUACUCUUUAAAGAUUUUAUUAUACAUUAGGAUAUUAUUAAUGAAGAUAAUUACAUAUUUAUCUGAAAGAUCUCAAAAUAGUUUAUUUAUAUAACUUAUGAAGGAGGCUAGAGUAUUAGUGAGGCCAAAACAUAAAACAAGCCAUUCAAAAUGUUCAUAGUACAUAUAAAAUACCAUCUUUUUCAUAUCUUCUUUUAUAAUAGGUAUCUAUUAAUAGCCACUAUAAAGGUCUAAUUUAUUAAAGAUAGUUGUACCUCAAAGUUAGUCAAGAUCAUCCAUGGAUGGAAGUGAAUAUGUAUUCUUGACAAUUUGCUUAUUAAAACCUUAAUAAUUGAUGUAAAGCCAAAGUCUACUAUAUUUUUUGGAUACAAAGACUAUAGAUAUCUUCUUUAGUAACAUGCUUUCUUGAAUAAGUUCCUUCUCUAAGAAUUCUUCUAAUAUCUUUUGUAGCUCUUCAAGUUCAUUCGGUAUUAGGUAAUAAAUUGGCUAACUUGUCAGUUUGGUUCUUAGAAAUAAUUCUAUUUGAAAAGAGGUACCUCAAUUAAGUGGCAUACUACUAGAUAAGUCAGUUAAAAAACAUCUUGAUAUUAAUGUAUGAAUUGCUUUUCUCAUUCUACUCUUUUGGCUAUCUUUUCCACCACUCAAGCAAGAUUUGGAACCACCAUAUAUAUCGGUUACUUAUAUUAUAUUUGCUUCUUCAUAAAUAUCAUUCUUAUAAUUAAGCUUUUAGCUAGAUAUCAUUUUAUUACUAUUUUUGAUAUAGAGGCACAAUGAAUCAUCUUGCAUCCAUUGUCUUUAAAAAAAUUAUCCUUGUUAGCUAUUCAACUUGUUUAUUUUCAAUGUUGUCAUGUUGUAACACGUCUAUAUGGUGAAAGAUGAUAAUAUAGAUCUUAUUAUAGAAGAGCCAAGUUAAAAGAAAAGGUAGAAAAAUAUGGAUAAAAGAUAGGAAGGUAGUAAAACUUUUAGUAGUAAUGCUGCCCUUUUAGAAAAAAUAGCUUCUACUUACUUUGUAGGGCCAAAAAUAAGGCAAAAUAAGGUAGAUUAAAAAAAAUAAAUGAUAUAGACAUCUUUAGGAGAAAGUUAAGAGUAAAUUCUAGUAAAAAUUACUUAAAAAAAACUAGAUGUUGAUACCCGGAGAGAGUUGGUUAUGAACCAAGGUCGAAAUCAGACCCUGAGGCACAAAACCAAGUCUCGACGACGACUUCGGAACUCUUUGGCAGAUCGAAGAGUGAGAUUUGAUAGAAGAUUGAAUAGGGUUUCUAUAGGCAUUGAUUUUGGAAGAUUUGGAGUUUUUAUGACUUUGUAAGAGCUUUGCACAGUCAAGGUUUGUUUUGGAUGACUUGGAUUUUGUGAAAUAAAAUAGGGUUUAUAUUUUGGGUGAUUUCAAGAGUUUUGUAAUAGAUCUACGGGUGAAAUUUUUUGGAUUUAUGGUUAUAGUUGUGUUUAAUAUGUAUUGUGAAUUUGAACUCGAUCUAACGGUUGAAUUGAGAGAUAUUAAGGUUUAACUGGGCCAAGGUCUCAGAAAGUAGAAUUUUAGGUCUAGUGGGGGUUUUUACAAUUUCUUGCAAUCCAUUAGUUGGAUUGGAAUGAAACUUACAUGAGAGAAUAUUAAGCUUAUUUUCCUAUGUGCAUGAGAAUUUUGAAAUCAAUUGAACGGUGCAAAAGAGAGAUAUCAACUCUGGAAGAUUGACAUCAAGAUUGGAGAAGGAGGCUUGCUAAUACCCGAAUACAUUUUUGAAGUUAUCAUCAAUUUGGUAACUCCGAUCCUUAUCAAUUUUUUGUGCUUGUUUUUAAUUUAAUUUUUAAGAAGUUUGUAAAAUUUGAGUAAAGAUCAAUGGUUUAUUAAUUAGUUAUUGAGGUUUAAAUCUGUUAUAAGAAUUACUAGGGUUUGAUUUAGGAUUUGGUUUAGGAUUUGACUAGGGUUUGGUUUAGAAUUUGAUUAGGAUUUGGAUUAAGAUUUGAUUAGGGUUUGAUUUAGGAUUCAGAGUUUAUUUAGGAUUUAGGGUUUGGAUUAAGAUUUAGUUAGGAUUUGAUUUAGGAUUUAGGAUUUGGAUUAGGAUUUGGUUAGGGUUUGAUUUAGGAUUUGGUUUAGGAUUUGGUUAGGAUUUGAUUUAGGAUUUGGUUGGGAUUUGGUUUAAGGUUUGUUUAGGAUUUGAUUCAAGGUUUAAGAUUUUAUUAGGAUUUAAGAUUCAAUUAGUUUUGGCCUAAAGUUUGAAUGAAGUUCAAUAGGAUUUUAACUAGAAUUAAAUUAAGAUUGAAUUGAGAUGUAUUUGAGUGAUAUUUGUGAUUCUUGUAAUAUUUCUUUAAGAAUUCUUAUUAUUUGUUUGAAAUUUCUUUGACAUUUUUCUGAAUUCGAUUAAGCUUGCUUAGCAUUAUUAUAGUCUAAUUAGAAUAUUAUUAGUAUUCUAUUAGGAUUAGGAUUUUGUUAUUGUAAUUUUUAUUCUUCCUUCCAUAGCCAGGUGCCCGGAGCAUUCUCAAGCAAGACUUCACGUAUUAUGACAAUGUCUAGCCAUAGCAUAUCAAGGAUAACAUCAUAUGUAAGCUUUAUUACCUUGAAUUUUUUUCUUAAGACAUAGGUGUAGUUAUUGUUUUACUUAUUCUACAAAUUUCUUUCAGAAUAAACCUAUAGAAGGGAAUUUGAACUCAGGGAAAGACUAAGCGUAUGAGCUUACAUAUUAGGGUCACUCAAUUAACCGUAAUCCAAACGACUAAAACACCAAGAAAUACUACAAUGCUUUCUCCCAAUAACACUACUCCUUCAUCAACUGAUAACCACAUCGUGCAACCUUGCACUCUUUAAAAGACUGUUUAAAGUACAUAAAUUCCAUCUAACACCAGAAAUAACAGACUUCACUCCAAUCAAUCUAGAUUGACACAAUUUCUAUAAUCUCAAACUUCCUCUGUCAUAACACACACACAACUCUCAAUAAACAACAAUCAUAAUCUUCCAUCCAUAAUCAAUCUUCUAAUAACUUCUCAUAUAAUUCAAUCACACAAUACUCCAAUUACAUAAUCAAUAAUUCAUAAAUCAAUCUCUGAUUUAUUCCACAGAUUCACUUCUCAUUAUUCAAAAACUAUCCAUUACUCUUCAAGAACAAAGAAACAAAGAGGUAGCACCAAACUUACUCUGGCUCAUGACUAUCACAGUCUUGCCUUCAGACUAACUUCUAUAACUUCUAUAUAUUUACUCCAUAUUCUCAGAUUCUAACCAUAAUCCUUUAAUUAACCACUUUUAAUAACUAAGUUAACUAUAUGUCCUCCUGAACUAACUAUUUUAUGGACUAUUAGUCUAUUUUACCAAUAUCUUACAAAAAUGAAUUAAUAUCUAUUCUACAAUAGGUUUCAUUCAACUUCAAGAUUUCUUCUUCACAUGUCUCACUUAAUAUAUUAUUUUAGUCAUCACCUAGGUAUAUACUUCUUCCUUUCAUUACCUUGGUUUUAAUUCCAAAUUAGUUGGCAAUCUUAGUCAAGAUGUAAUUUUUUGUAGAAUUAUAAUUUGUAAGCACUUGAUAUGAUUGUCCUCUUAGUUGACCUACUAAACACACUAGUUGUCCAAGGUCAUGCCAUUUGUCUUUGAAAAAUAAUAGCUAUCCCUAGUAUUGGCUCUUAGUGCUUUUAUUAAGAAGUCAUAUUUUCCUACUCCACUUUUUUAUCAUUUUGGUGAACCUUGAGAUUAUAAAUCCACCUUGAUUUGUUGAUAAUUAAAUUUUGAUGCUUUGAAUAAUCUUUGAUCUAAUGGCUUGGCUCUCAACAAUAAUAAUACAAUCCCUUCUAUACUAAUAUUUGUUAUCUCUAAAAUAUCAAUGGUCCUUGCAAGGCAUCAAUAUCUAUUGGCAUUAAUUGUUGUGCCAUAGUAUUGGAUAGGGAGACAAGAUUUUGUCCUCUAAGUUAUGCUCUAUAGUUUCUAAAAUCUAUAUCAUCAAUUCUUUCUAUAAUUCUAACUGCCUCUUCAAAUGUUUGCAGAUUCUUUAAUUCUACUUCUUGCUAAACCACAGGUUUCAAUCUUUGUACAAAUAAAUCUAUUAUCUUUGCCUCUAAAAAGUUGCUAAUUUAGAAAUAUAUAAACUUGAAUCGAGAGACAUAAUCUUACAUUGACUUGAAUUAUAUAAGAUUAGCCAAUUAAUCACAUAUUAAUUUUUCUACAUUAAUGGACCAAAAUUGAUUCUUAAGUUUGGUCUCAAACUCCUCCUAAUUACAAAAUCCACCUUAAGUUCUAUAUUUAUGAGCUCAAUGUUACUACCAAAUGUUUGCUGUACCUCUAAAAUAACUAGUUGCAUACAUAAUUCCUUCAGUGGUGCUUAUUCCAUAUAAUUGGAUGUAUUUUUGCAUGCUAAAGAACCAUUUACAUACAUCUUUUUGCCAUGAAGUACUAAAAUAUGUUUUGGGCUUACUUAAUUUUAGCCUUAUAGAUAUCAACUUCCUUGCCUUAGAAGCUUCUAUUUGUCCUUAUGGAGUAGCUAUUUAGUCUAAGAAGAAUUAUACUUAAGCUUCUAUUUGAGAUGGCUCUGCUAUAUCUCCCAUGCUACAAUUUCUUUAACAAUUUUUUUUUAUUAUAAUGCCUUCUAUCUUUUUAAUUGAUUUCUUAAAAAUAACUCAUGGUAGUCUCCAAAAAAUAAUCAAUGUAACCAUAACAUCUGACAUCUAAUUAGAUAAUGGCUAUUAAUAUAUUAUAAAAGAACAGACUAAUAUUUGCUUUGAUAUCAAUGAAAUGGGACUAAAUUCUCUUAAAAAUCUAAAAUCCUUCUAAUUUAUAGCAACAUAAAAUUUAUCACAAAGUAAGUCAAAAUAAACCAAAAUUAAACUAAAAAAAAUUUUAAAAAAUAGAAUAUAAAAGAUAAAACAUAGCAAAAAAAAUAAAAAUAGAAUAGAAUAGAAAAUAAAAACCAAACUUUACAAAAAGAAAGGAUCUAAAGCCAUAUUCAAUCAAAUGCUCUAAAUGGCUGUCAAAGACAUAAAUCUCAAAGAAAGAAAAUCUUCAAUAAACUCUUGUGUCAUUAAAGAAAACUAAAAAAUCAUUCAAAAGGUGAUAUAACAUUAAACUAAAAUGGUUAUUUCCAAAAACAAGAAGACUAAAAAGUCUUGAAAUAAAACUGAAGACUAGAAAGGCAUUGACAAGAAUGAAGAAGGCUUUACACUUACCUCCAUAUAUACCCUUAACUAGAAGCUACAUAGUAAUGUUCUAUAGGACUUCGAAAAUAUAUUGACUUUGCUAGCCACAUGUCUUAACUUGCAAGGCAAGUUAUCUAUAUAUGCCCUAUAUAAUUAACUUGUUCCAUGAGCUAUUACACAGAGUUAACUUGUUCUACAAGCUACCAAUACAUGGUUAACUUGUUGGCCAAGUUUCUAACCUACAAACACAUCUAAAAUCAAAACUAUAUCUACAAAGCUUCUAAGAAGCUUUUCUAGAAGAUUUUAUGAAAUUAAUCUAUAUUUACCUAAUUUUAUCUAAUCAUAUAAGUAACUAUUGGAAUAAAUGUAUAUGUCCAUAACAAUGGCCUUACUUGAUCCUAUUUAUAUUUUAUCCAACCAUCUUAAAACUUCCUAGAAUAUCUCUAAUCGUAGGCUCCACUAAGAUAACUGUCUUUCUAGAAGAUUCUAGAGAUACAACUCUUUUAGAUAACUACCAUUGCUUCUUUUAGAAUGUAUUAUGGUGACCUCCUCAUGGACUACUAAAUUGGCCUCAAUUCUAAAAACUUCUCAAAAAAGAUUCCAAUUACCUAUCUUUAUGCAUUAAUAAUAUAAUUAUCUUAUUUAUGCGUCAUUAUAUUACAUAUGUGAAAUGAAAAUCUAUCAAAUUUUAGAAGAUAAGAUGAUUGAGACCUUUGAUUUAGUAGUUGUUCCAAAAAUUAGAAAAAAAUAUUAAAAAACUAUAUAGAAGUACUGAUGUAAAUACAUGGAUUAGAUUUGAAAAAAAAUUGAGAGAUAAAUAUUUUGAUAAAGAUGAUAAAAAGAUAAUUAAGAGAUAUUUUUUUUGAUUGGAUGGAGCAAAAAUCAAAUAAAUAUAUGAUAGCAAACAAGCUACCAAGAGAGUUUGAGAAGAAAUUUGGACAACUCCUAUUAUCUAGGAAGUGUCUUCUAGAAGUGAGGAAAUUAGAGUUGUUCCUAUAAGCUACAAAUGAGAUGUAAGAAGAUAGAUUGUUUUUUUUUCUUCAAGAUGAAAUAAUAGAAGGUGGUUCUAUCAUGGAUUAGAGAAGGUUGGAGAAGGUGGUGAGCUUUAUUAUUAAACAAUAGUGUGUGAAGUCUAGAGGAUUUGGAGCAAGGAUGGAAGCAAUAUCAAUAAAAGCUAUAAAGGCUUUAAUAACAAAUUUUCUCACUUCUAUUCUAUCAAAUUAUUUAAUAAAUAAUAAUAUAAAUGAAUAAAUUUAUUAAAAAUUGAUGAGAUAAAUAAAAAAUUUAAAAAUAGAAAUAAAUGCUUUAAAAAAGGUAUAAAAUUGGGUACUUCACAAUGAACUGAAGUAUCAAAGGAAUUUGUGAUGGUAUGCAUUUGAUGUGAUGAUCCAAAGAACAAACAUGGUGACUAUGGAUUAUAUGUAGUUGCUAUGAAAAGUGAUAUUAUUACCUUCUAAAAAAGAGAAAUCAGAGUUUUUAUAACAAAUGAGCAUUUAGAAACUAAUUUUGAGCAAAGAAGCAUGAAAAAAUUGAUGGAUAAUAGAUUGGAAAAAAACAACUCUUUAUGUGAUAAGAAAGUAGAGACUUAUAUUAUUGAGGUUGAAUACAUCAAAGUGAGAAUCUCUACACAUGUAUUUAAAGAAUUAAUAGUAUAAAAAAACUUAAGCUAUUAAAAAACUAAUUAGAUGGAAUGAUUUAAUUGAUGCAACUAUCAUCAAGGCUUAUUUGUUAAGUAAGCAUAAAAAAAAAGAACCCUAUAAUGCAUCAGUGGAGAUGAAGAAGGGCAAAACUAGUAAAGAAGAAGAGAUAAAAGAGCCAAUUAAUAAAAAAAAAAAAAAAGGCUCUAAGUGGUAGAAAUACUACUUUAGGAGAAGGAUCAAUAAGCAAUAUAAGGUAGAAGCAAGAAACAAGGCCUUUUAUUUCACAUUUAGGAACUCAUGUUUCAAUCUCAAAGGAGAAGUAGGAGAAAAAAAUGGAUAGUAACAAGAAUAAGAAGAAUGAAGACAACAGUAAGAUAAAGGAUAAGGCACCAAUCUAUAUAUUUCAAUCUGAAAUAGAAUCUUUAGUUGAUAUAAACAUCAUCUUAAAAGAAAGAAUUAUGGAUGCUAAGAUUUAAUUUAUCUUAAAAAAAUCUCUUGAUAUUAUCAAAAAAGAUUUUUAUGAAGUCACCAUUGAUAUUAUCAAGAAAAAAAGACAAAUGACAGUUGAAACAAUGAUGGCAAGAGCACUAGAUACGUUGAUGACCAUAGAUGAAAAAGAGGAGAUUGGACAAAUGUUUGCCUUGAUAUGUCAUGAUGUGAGUAGUGGUGACCAAAGCAAAAAAACAUAGAGUUAUUUAUAAUACAAUUAUGAAUAUAGAAGUUGAAGUUAUUGAAGAAGUUUUAUAUGAUGAGGUGGAGGAUGAAGUUUUAUAAAUAUUUUUAUAUCAUAGAAUAGCCAACAUCAAAAUAGAGGCAAAUACCAGCAAGAAUUAAAAAGAAGGAAUUAUAAUGGAAGUGGAAGUAUCAUAGUAUUAAGCUGAUAAGAUACAAAGGAGUAAAGGAGAAGCUUUGACAACUUAUACUCAUUUAUUUUGGACAAGAUUUACUACAGAAAUAUGUAUGAAGAUUGGAGGCCUUGAAGAGCCAAUCUUAGUAUUGAUAGAUUAUGGCUCUAAGAUCAAUAUCUUGUUGAAAAAGAUUUAUGAGAAGAAUAAGUGGUCAAUUGAUACCAAUCAUAGAUGGAUGUUGAAAACUACCAAUGACAAAAGAGAUAGCUUUUAUAAAAUAUAUCCAAUAGUGGGCAUCAAAAUUAGUUAUGUAAAAGUGAAACAAAACUUUUUUUAUAAAAAAUCAAAGAAGUUAUCCAAUCAUUUUGAGACAACCAUAUAUCACUACAAUAACAAUAGAUACUAAGGUGUUGGAUGAUGGCUCAUAUUAUGUGAGGAUUUAUAGCCAUGAUGGCAAAAAGUCAAUCCAUUUUUUUAUAGUAAAGCCAUAUUAUCAAAGGCAUAGAAAUCAACUUUGAGAAACUUCUAUGGACCAUAUACAUGAUGAUUUUUUUGAUUUCUAGAUUCCACUCGCAAAGCAUGGAGUACCAUGGGUGCAAAGAAAUCAUCUACUAUAAUAUGCCUCAAUAUAUAAAUGAGAGGUUGUAAGGUUCGGAAUUUGACAGAGAAUGGAUUUGUAAGUUUUUUAAAAAUUAAAGAUUUAGAUUCUAUAUAUAGAAGAUUAAUUAAAAAGAUUAAAAAAAAAACUAAAAAGAAUUUUUAUAAUUUUGAAUGAUGAGUUUAUUUCUAGAAUUAUUGAUGAAGAAGGAUUUUCAAAUGAUAUUUUAUAAGUUUUAGAAACUUUGCAAAGAAAAGACAUUGCAUUCAUUGAUAUAAUAGUAGAGAUUAAUUUAAGAAGAUAUAAAGAAAUAUUAGAGAAAGCUAUUGAUACAAAAUUAGUUGAAAGUUAUGACUUAGAAAUUUAGAUAAUAGUGAAUAAUAAAUAUAAGGCUAUAGCAAAGAAAGUAAGACCAGUGGUAACACAACUGCCAUUGGAUUCUAAAGAUCAUAUCAACAAGGCUAAAAAAGAGCUUAGACUAAAAAAAAUAAGAAAGAUUUGAUAUAAUUUUAUGGAAGAAAUAAUGGCUAAGCUAAAGAUUAGAAGGGGUGAGUUUUUCAAAAAACUUGAAAAGAAAAGGUUUCAAGAAAUGAUAUCCAAGUAUGAUAAGAUUUUUUCUUCUUUACCAAAUGAUAUUAGAUGUGUUAAUCCAAAGAUUAUUGCACCAAUAUUCAUUUUUACUAUUCCAUAUGUACCUUAGAAUUUGAAGCCAAUUCUUGUGCUAAAUGCCUUGCUAUCUAAGUUAAUAAGUCUAUUGAAGGAAAAGAUAUAAAUAAAAAUAUUUGAACCAUCUAUAGCUCUAUAUUUCAAUUGAUGGUUAAUAAUGCCAGAGAAGUUUGGAGCUUUGAUAUUCAUUCAAGACAUGGAACUAGUCAACAAGCGAUAAUUAAAAAUAAAAGAUUGGAACUGAUUGUGAAUGAAGUUGUUAAAGCUUUUGCAAGACAUGCCAUUUAUUCUAUUGGAGAUCUUUAUUUUGGUUAUGAUUAGUUUCAACUUGCAACAGAAAGUAGAGAUGUGACAACUAUGAAGACUCUAUUAAGAUUUAUGAGGAUGUGUACUUUGCCUCAAGGCACUGCUAAUUCAAUAGCUCAAAUGCAAAAUGCCAUGAACCAAAUCUUGAGGGAUUUUUUUGCUUAGAAAGACUAUUUUUUUUUUUUUUUUUAUAGAUGAUAUACCUAUCAAAAAUUGUAAAGAAGAUGCUAGAGACUUAACAUUGGAUGUUGAUGGAUGCAAAAGGUUUGUGAAAGAUUGCGUUGAAGAUAUAAAGAAGAUUUUGAAGAAGCUUAAAGAAGUGGAUCUAAUCUUGUCUAUUGACAAAUCUAAAUGUGGAGUUGAUGAGAUUGUCGUAGUUGGACACUUAUAUAGGAGGUAUGGCAAAAAAUCUAACUUUAAAAAGGUUGAUCUUAUUAGUAGGAUGAAAGCAUAUAAUAGCAUCAUUAAAAUAAAAAAGUUUUAGGAACUUAUAUCUUUUAUCAAAUUCUGAUUCUUCACUUUGCUUAAAUAGCUGAGCCUUCAUACAAUCUCUUGAAAAAAAAAACUAAAUUCAAAUGGGAAAAAAAAAAAAAAAAAAAAAAAAAAAAACAACAACAACAACAACAACAAUAAUAAUAAUAAUAAUAAUAAUAAUAAUAAGGCCUAAUUAUAGAUGGUCUAAAAGAGAUUUUGAAGUCACCACCAAUCUUGAAGUAAGUUUACUAUGAUUGUGGUAGAUCAAUUAUUGUUAUUAUUGUUAUAAGUCCUAUUGCUAUUAGAUGGAGUAUUGGUCAAGAAGAUGCAAAAGCCAAGAGAUUUGCCAUGAAAUUUGGAAGAAGAAUUUUCAUGGAUAAAUAGAGAGCAUAUCCACAAGUAAAGUUGGAGCUUUUGGAAGCACUUAUAACUAUGAAAGUAGACAAAAAUUACUUAAUUGGAGCCAAUGUGGUACUAGAGAUUGAUUGCUUAUCAUUAUUAGAUAUGAUGGCCAAUUUUUCUAUUCAUGAUAUCGUCAUGCUUAGGUAAAUAUCCUAUAUUAAAUCAUUCAAUUCUAUAUUAUUAUUUAUUUUUUACAAGAAUAAUUUUGUGGCAAACAUAUUAUUUAAACCUAGAUAUAUUUAUGAAAAAGAGAUAGAAACACAAGAGAUUGUUAAAGACAAUGAAGAUGAGAACUAUGACUAUAUGCUAGCCACUAAUAGAACAAGCACAAGUGAUAAAGAUAUGGCUUUCAAAAAAGAUCUUUAUGGAAGCAAGUUAAGAGACAUUAGUAUCUAUUUAAGUACUAUGAAAAAAUAAGAAGACUGGUCAAAUAAGUCCUUCAAAGACAUCAAACACUAGUCUUAUGACUAUAUUUUGAAAAAUAAUUUCUUAUAGAAGAGGCCAAAGAGGAAAGAUGGAGUACCAUUGAGAGUGGUGGAUGAUUCAAAAACCAAGAAUCAAGUUUUAAAGGAGUUUCAUGAUAUACUUUGGACAUGUUACAAAGGAGUUUGGACCAUCUACCAUAAAAUCAAGGAGCACUAUUGAUAGAAAGACCUCUACAAAGAUGUAGUAGAAUUUGAAGCUUCUUACACUAAAUGCCAACUGUAGUCAAAAAUCAAAUUCAAAGAUGACAUGCAUCCUAUCUAUUUAUUUGUUAUGUAUUUUCAAUAGGUGAUUGAGUUGGUGGCUAUGCCAUUAGAAUUAUGGAGCAUAAAGUAGCUUGUUUUGGCAAGAAAAGAACUCUCAAAUUAUAUUGAAGGGAGAGCUUUGAUAAACAAAACUAUAAAAAGAGUGUACAGAUUUAUUGUAGAAGAUAUCUUUAGUAGAUAUGGCAACAUUGGAAGAAUGAAGGCUGAUUGAAGAGAAUUAGAUACAAGAAAGACCAAAGAUUUUUUUCAAAGAUAUGGUGUGAAAGUGAAGAUGAAAAUUCCUUAUAAUCCUCAAACAAAUUGUAAGAGUAAGAGAAGACAUCCUUCCAUCAUUAAUGCUUUUUUUAAGGCUUGCAAACAUAAAUCAAGGCAAUGGCAAAGACUUCUAUCAUUUGCUUUAUGGGCAAAUAGAACCGUUCAUUCAUAGAUAAUAUAAUAUAAAAAUAAAAUAACUAUUGCCAAAGACAAGAAAACUAGUGGCUCUUGAAAUAAGAAUAAAAACAAGAUAGGCAUUGAUAAGAGUGAAAAAGGCUUCACUCUUAAUUCUAUAUAUACUAUCCAAUUAAAAACUAUAUGGCAACAUUCUAUAGAAUCCUUUAUACAUGUCUAACUUACAAGAUAUAUAUCUAACUUGCAAGGCAUGUUUCCUACAUGUAUGCUAUAUGGCCAACUUGUACCAUAAAUUGUGAAUAUGAGUGACAUGUGGCUAAUUUAUUGGCCAGAUUUCCAACCUACUAAUCAACUACAAAUACAUAUAAAGUUAUAUUUGCACUUAUAAAGCUUUUUAGAAGUUUUUUUACAAGCCCUUAUCAAAUUUAUUUAUAUUUAUCUUCUAUCUAGUAUUUCUUAUCUAAGUGAUAAUAUAUAUUUAUAAUAAUUUUAUAUCUAGAUUAUAAUGUAUUCAAGAAAUAUAUUAAUAUUAAAAUAAAUAUAUUAUUUUUAUUAUAUUUUUUUUUAUUUAAUAAAAAUUCUCACUAAAUAUUUAUCAUUAAAAAUUUUAAAAAAUUAAAAAUUAUUUCGUAAAUUUUUAGAAAAUAAAAAGAUAUAAUCUAUUUAUAAUUUUUUAUUAUAUUAUAAAUAAAUAAUAAUUUAAAAUUUUAAAAUAUUUAUGUAUAAUUUUUUAGUUAAAAAUAUUAUAUUAAUUUUAGUUCUAAUGGUUUAAAUAAAUAAUUUUAAAUAACUCAAAUAUUAUAUUAUAUUAACUUAACUAAAGAUAACAAAUCUUUAUACAUAAUAAUUAUUAUAAUUUUUUAGUAAUAUAUAAAUAAUUCUAAAUUAAAAAUUAUAAAAGACUAACAAAAAGAAAUAUUUAUAAUUAUUGAGUUAUUAAUUUUUUUAAAAUAAAUGAUAUAUACAAGUAGUUUAUAAAUAAUAUUUUUUUUAUAGUUAUAAAAAGAAUUGGUGGAAAAAUUGACUUUAAAAAAUGAUAUAAUUAAAUUUACAACAUGACCUCAUAUGAAAGAAUAUAAAGCAAAAUCUUUUUGCAAGUACGUUAUGAUAUUUGAAAAUGAUUCUUACUCUUACCAUAGUUAAUUGUGAUAGUAUUCAAUAUAAAUCAUACUAUUUUAAAAUAGGAUUAUGAUAAAAAUAAAUUAAAAAUUAAAAAUUCACAAGAUAAUAAAAAAAAUAUGUAUAUUUAUAUAUUUUUUAGAUGAAUCAAAUAAUGAUAACUAUAAUUUUACAAUUAUUCAUAAAAUGGUUUAUAUUUGUAUCAAAUUAUUUCUUUGUAAAGAUAUUUUAUGAAUAAGAUAAGUUUUAACAAAAGUAAAAAUAUAUAUAUAUAUAUAUAUAUAUUUAAAUUAUGAAUAUAAGUAAAAUAAAAAUAAAUCUAAUAAUAGGUAUAAUGUUUUUUUUUGUUCAUUUUCUUUGAAGUAGAUGUAUGCCGGAAAUUAACAAAGACUAGUUGAGAGAUCUCACUGUUACCAUAUCAUAAAUGUUUAAUGAUUUAAAUACUCAAUAAGUCAUUGUGUUGGACUAAUAUUGCUUGAAUUCAUUUUUUCAUUAAAUAGGUAAUCACAUGUUGUAAAUUUAGAAUCUUUAUAAAUACAAAAUUGUUUUAAAAAAUUAUGCUUUAAAUCUUUCUUUAAAUGUAAAAGAAAUAACUACCAACAGUGACAUUUUUUAAUUUAAAAAGAAAUAAGAGAAAAUCUAUAACAAUACCAAAUACAUUGUAUUGUACAUUUGGGUUUUGAGGAAACCAAAAAAAUGACAUUUUUACCUGUGAAACCUUUGUCUUUAUUCUCAAUAAUAGACUUUAUAUGUUGAAUGUAUAGAAUCAGAAUUCAUCUUUAAAAAUUGAUCAACUGUUUAUUUUUGCAAACAAUUUAAGAACAUAUAUAUAUAUAUAUAUAUAUAUCUUUAACUUGAAAUAAUUAUAAAUUAAGUUUUUUACUAAAUUUAUAGAAAAUUUUACUCGGAUUUUUAUGUUCUACAUGUCGAAAUUGUACAUACAUACAUACAUACAUAUAUAUAUAUAUAUAUGUGUGUGUGUGUGUGUGUGUGUGCGUGUGUGUGUGAUUUUUUAUAACACACUUCUAGUGUGCAAUUUAUUUCAGUUUUAAUGAUAAACAUAUAAGCUAUUAUUACAGCAAUUAUUAAAACAUUACUUUAAAAUCAUUAUUUAAAUAAUAAAAAAAUCAAAAUAAUAAAAACAUACAUAGGAAAUUAGGAAGUUUCAUAACUCUUGACAAGCCUCUUAUUGAUAAGAAUAUGGAACAUUAUUUAUACCCAAAUAUACUACAAAAUAUAUUUUGUUCUAACAGAUCUGAAAUAAUUCUAUCAGGUAUGAUAUAAACAAUCAAGGAGGAUUUUUUUUUUAUUAUUUUUUUAUUUCAUUCUUAUAAUUUUGAGUAAUUACAGUUUGACUGUGUGUUUGUACAUAUAUAUAUAUAUAUAUAUAUAUUUAUAUCUGGGCACACAAUUUUUGAAAAAUUAAAUAUUGCAUGUAAAAAUGUUGUACAUUUUGCACCUACAGGCCCAUGCAUGCAAAGAACAUAUUGUGUCUUUGGAAAGCUACAACAACCCAAUACAUUCAAAUCUAGACAACUUUGGUAGGUCUCCCUUGCUGUGACCUGCAAACCUUUAACCCAACACGAAUUCUAUAAAAAGCCAGGGCUGCAGAAUGCUGCCAGCUGCAGUAUAUUAAGAAUUAUAUUUAAAAUGUAUUAUAAAAUCAAAUUUUGCUUAAAAUGAUGUUUCAGAAUAUAUUGGUCAUCCUUGCAGUACAUGUGUGGAAAAAAUAGUUUGGUGGUAUCAUUUUUGAAGUACGAUAAUGUUAAAAGAAAAGACCACAGAGCACUGUUUUAAGACCAUGUUUUGUUUGAAAAAGGAUUAGAAAAACAAUCUUUUAGAAUUCAUAAAUACAAUAAAAAGGAAAAAUAUGAAAAGAAGUUUUGCACCACAAUAAUUUGAACUUUUGUUGUUUUUUGUAUAACUAGUAAACAUUGUUAAUAUUUCUUUCAAGUUUUUGAAGUCUGGAGAAUAAGAAAAUCAAUAUCUAUUUUUAGAAAUAUCCUUUUGUAUAGUACCAAUAUCAAUGGACCUUGUGAGAGGCAUUGAUUAAAGGUUAUAUAGACCCAAAAGAAAGAACUCAAUAAAAGCUUAAAACUACACUAAUUUAUGAAUAAACAAGCUUAGAUAAAAAUAAGAUUAACCUCAUUGGAGGUUGUCCCACAUGAAUAGACAAAAUUUAUAGUUAUAUUUUUAGUUGCAAAAGAUUGGCAAUAAUAGUUUUGAGUGAAUGGUCAAGAAUAUAUUUAUAUAUAUAUAUAUAUAUAUAUAUAUAUAUAUAAAUGAAUUCACAGAGAGAGAUAGUUUUAAAUUUUGUUUUGAAUUUUCAAUAUUCUUCUUAUUUGACCUUUUUUUCAAUAAUAUGCUGUAAUAUUUUAUUUGAAGACAUAUGGAUUCAAGAAAUUUAAAAGAUCAAAAAUACAAUGAGCUCAUCUGAAACCAAUGCAGGUUUAAAGAUGCAUGUGGACUUCUUCAUAGUUUUUUUCAAAAUAUCAUUAUCCCUUUCAUUAUUACCCAAUACUACCUUUGAAGUAAGCUUGAAGAAUCAUUAAGAUAACUUUAACAAAAAUUAAUGUGAUUUUUAAAUGCAUAUAAUAUAUAAACUUCUUCAAAUGAAAAUCAUACUCAACUUUUCAAAAAUAGCAUAAUAUUUUCAGCUUUUUCAUUAAUACACUUCAAAAACAUAUAAAUGAAUAGAGGGGAAUGUUAAAUAGAUCCAUGCUUUUAUUAAAUAAACCCACUCUUGAUGAAGAAUAUGAUAAUCAUGACAAAUGUGGUUGGUUUUUAUUGGUUGUAGAUUCACUGGGGAAAUGAAUCUAAAAAUCAUUAUUUUUUUUUCAUGAUAGUUAGAAUGUGUGGGUUAAUUUAGUAUAACACUUGGGUCUACUUAACAUUCCCCUAAAUAUAGGGUAAGAAAGAAAAAAGAAACUAUCAGAAUAUAUUCGUUUCACAGAAACUUUUAAACACAGUUAUUUCAUGUCCUUGCUCAGACAUUCACCCACAAAUGUCUGUAUGUGUGAGCAAAUGCAAUGAGAGCAGUGUCGGGUUUGCCAGACCCAGUAACUCCCCACGAUCAUGAGAUCAUACCCGUGUGAACGCCAACAGGACUGGCUUCGCAGGAUACGCGCUUCAGACCAGUCAAGUGGGCCUCAGGCCUAUGCCCAUGCCCUCAGUCACCGAGCACAAGGUUUGGAUGGUGCAUGAUUCACGACCAGCCAAUGAGGCGCGAAGUAAGGGGACGAAUGAAAUCCCGUAUGAGUGUCUGUCGGAGAUUUAUGGAUGAACAUUGUUGGAAUAACCAUGCCUCGUUCUUAUUACCGCUCUUCCGCUUUCUGAGGUCACUUGGAUUCGAGGGCACCUUGCUGCACAACACGCCAUCCAGUCACCUCUUUACUACUUUUACCUUGUUCCAUUUGGGUCUAUUGUGACAUUUUUAAGGAUUUAAAGCCAUAGUUCUGCUGCAUGUGGUGAGUCUUCGGCAGGCGACAGAAGCGACUGUAAGAGGUUGGAAGACUCUUUGGGUGUGUACGUGUUUCCAACUCUGGAAAUUCAACCGACUCAGUGAAGGGUCCAAAGUUUGGUACGGCACCACCACAUAUUGAUAUGGAACUGUGUACGAUCCCAUGGAAGUAAAAGUGUAAUUAACGAAGAUAACGCUGUCACGCAGAAGUUGGUGAUAAGUUCGGUGAUGUUUUUAAUAUAAGAGAGCGAUCGAUACCACUCACCCCAAAGUGUUGGAAAUGAACCCCUCAUUGCCGAGAUAAAAUGGUGUCGACUUUGUGACACUUCAAAGCCUUGCUUAAUUAGCCCCCCCCCCACCCCCCCCCCCGUAGCCACGUACGUAAACCUCCAGAGGUGUAUGUGAUCAUCCAGAGAGAACUUCGCUUGUUUGGGUAGGUUCUGACGGACACUUCCCAAGCAAAAUGUAACCACACAUUCACUGAAUCUUAAUACGUCCUCGUUUUGAUCAAAAGCUCUCUGGUUGUGAGCCAUUGAAAUUAUAAUGAAAUUGAUUCUUGGUCUGAAGAAGUCAACUGCAUAGGGACGUAGACGUAGACGUUGUGAUAGGCCCAACUCUGGAGCGUUUCACUAUUUCAUUCUUCGACGGCCCCACGACACACCAAACCUGCGCACGAGCAGAUACACGAUUCAAAUCGCAAUUCACAUCCUCAACAUGGAACAGUUACUAACCAACAUUCACCAACACAAACACUGAGGUGAUCAACUUCCACAACGAUUCCCUUCGAAUGAACAACUCCGAUCGCCAUUCAACACAAACCCCAAUUCAGGCCCCGUAAGCUAACCACUGCCAACACCACUUGCAAAUGAACUGAAAUGGGAAACGACGCCGAAGCAAUGGAAGUCCAUGAUAAUAUUCUAUUAUGAAACCAGAAAUACCGGACAAUGCGAACGACAGGACGGGACUUCAGCCAUAGUCCUACGCAUCGCAGCAUACGCAAACAGUUCGUCGGAGCUUCAAAAGAUUAAAAUCACACAAAUUACAAGUGAGGCAACAACUACACCAAAGAAGAAAAGAACCACUCUAACCAAGUAUAACCAAAAAACCUUCACUUCCACAAAUACAGAUAACUCAUAAAAAGACAAACUUCGGGCACCUCACCAUGCGCUAACCAUCACGAUGAACAUAAAGUACUCAGCUGGUACCCUACAAAAAAAAAAGGGAGUAACCCAUGUCACCUACACUUCACCAAACAUGUUAACGAAACACAUUUCCUUUGACAAAAAGUAAUCUCCAAACGCAUCAAAAGAAAGUACCCGAUCCGUCAUUCUUAAAAUAACUUAAACUUACAACAUCGACAGUACCCCAACCAACCACUGUAAAGGUCGGGAAAGACACACUCGCAUCCAUGCAUAUCGUGACCAAAACGACCGAAACGCCCAAACACACUACACCUAGCCCGGGCUGCAACUGCUCAAACUCAAAAGUCAAACAUUGACACGACCACUCAACAAUAUCAGACUGCUCAUACCCCCACAAUGUCAAGAUGUUCGAAACCCAAGCAAAAAACCAGAUAGAGCUAAACACACCCAUCAUCCACAUCCAAAACCAAUCCACCACAUUGAACUGCUCUCACGCCUACCAUGUCACGUUGUUCGAUGCCCGUACAAUAAACCAUACACAACACACACCACACAUCAUCGUUUCAUCCACACCCACCACCACCACAAUAAUUUGCAAAUCCCCUGUUCUCCCAUCAUCUCCACAUCGCACACCACACUCAGCGAGUACAGCUGUUGCAAGGGCUUCCGCACCCUGUUCACGAAGUGCACCGAACUCAAAGUAAUACUGCAACCUUCACGGCCAAACAGGUAAACAAAAUCACAGUCUGCUGCACAAUGCACACCCGCGUUCUACCUACUCUAACUGGACAACCAAAGAACCCUCUAGGUGGUGCCCGCGUCCAAGCGUUAUCCCUUCUACCCCAUUCUCUACCUUUCCUCCUCCCCCACCCUCCCACCGGGUGGAUCCUGUCCCUGCAUCUGUACUUCCAGGUUCCCCGCCCCUCGUCACACUCCAUUUCUCUACACAUCGCGGUUUCGUCCAAGGAGCACCCCAUCCUCCUACCACUACCCAGCCCCAAGCUCCAAGUCCAGACCAAACCACAACCACAUCCCACACGCCUCUAGAGGGAUACCCUCGCGGCUGCCAUCUUCUACCAUCCGUUCAACGCUCAUCCCAGGAACAAUCCCCCUCCGCCAUUUCACGUGAACUCGGUCUUGGCUCCGCCCUCCACCGCUGCGGCCCGCCGCCUAAGCAACUGCCUCUGGCGCAGCAGCACCAACUUCCACCUUCUCAGCCUUCGUCACUUCUUCGACCCCCUCAGUGGAGCCCUCUGCCAUGCCCACCACCGCAUCUUUCACCUUCUCACCACCCUCGCCGUUCGACGACUUCUCCGCAUCGCCAUUGCGCGCUGCUUCUUCCGCCGCCUUGGACUCCUCGCCGUCUUUCAUUGACGCCUCUGCAGGAACUUCCGCCGACUUCCCGCCGUUCGACUCUCCCGACUCCACCUUCACGUCCUCCGCUUUCUCGCUCGACCCUUCCGUCGUCGCUUCUACGGUUUUCUCCACGGCAGCGACCUCCUCUCCGGGAACGUCCACGUCCAUCGCUUUGGUCUCCUCCUUGUCCUUUCCGUUCUCCUCCACUUUCUCGUCUGCUGCACCAUGNNNN
rnacentral:lncRNA from 1 species